rnacentral:lncRNA from 1 species
UAUCGUCUAACUCUAGAUGGAUUUUUUUCAGAUACUUUAUGAGAUUGGAGAACUUUUAGCAAGCACUUUGAACCUUUCCUUUUCAAGAGACAAGAUCACGUGGAAUCCAACAAGAAAAUCAAAAGACGAUCGGGAGCCAUGGCGUGCAUUAUAUGGUUAAACCUCUACUGUCUGUGACAUUAGAGGUUGAGACAAGAUCUAUCGUCGGGUGCAUCAGGUUGAAAAAACUUUCAGUUCAUAUUGUGAUUGAUAGAUCUAUGUUCAACAUCAUAGUGCUUAAACUUUCAUUUAUGGAUUAUAUAUUAAGGAUGAUGGGAUAAUCUGAAUGAUUAGUUCAUGUGUUCAUCCUGUUGGGUGCCUUGUGUGGUUCUUAUUCGAACCUGUAAUGUAGUAACUACAAUCAAAUCAUUCAUCAUACAAUAAAAACGAAUCAGGCAAUACACUAAAACAAGAUAUCAUUUAGUAAUACAGUUUAGUGGUGUUCCUCUUCAUUUGUAAAUGAGAUGUUCUACAUAUACCACCAAUUUAUUCCUUAAUAUAUAAUUCAUCGAAUCAGUUACACCUCUAAUUUUGGAAUCUCACAUAAACAGAUACAAUAAGAAAUAUAAAAUAAUGAAAAACCUUUACAACCAACGUUUCACAUUCCUAUUAAAUAUUCCUUUUCCGUAAGUAGAAACGAUAAUUCUAACUAGGAGGGGGAAUUGCAUCCAAGCAAAUAAAGUGACAGGAACACUUGAAAGAAGGAUGGCCGGAAUCACAAUCCAAGAAUGUCCACGAACUAUAAUUAGAAGGGCAGCGGAAAAUGCAAUCAUCAUGGUUGCAAUAGCCAAAAAGAGAGUGGCAAGACCAAUUAUUAUUUUUGUGGGUAAGGAUUUCAAGAAAUCAUCUUCUGCGAAACGUGACGUGAGAAUUCCGAGAAACGUCAAUGUUGCAGUCGUGGAAGAAAAGAGUGAUAUAGCAUCUGAAAUUAUAAAUAACAUAAACAAUUUUUCAUGGUUGAAUGUGGGAAAACCGGUAUCUCCAUUUCCUCCAGGAAUUGUGAUUACUGCGGCAAACAUGAUGGUGAUAAUAAGAGCACCUACAACAGUGUAAGAAGUUGCCGUCUCUUUCAUCCAUUUUUCUCCUUCCUUUAGCAAUUCACUGUGAUUCUUUGUAAAUAGUUCCCUUGGUUUCAAAUUUUCACCGCUGUUCAUAAACUCAAGACACUUAGGAGGUACAAUAGUCUCUACUUCCUGCAUUGCAUUGAACAACUACUGACAUAUGAGAGUAUAAAAUAUAAUUUUCUAUAAUCUUUGUUAUAUUAUGGUUAACUACAUUUUACACUCCAAGAUCUGAACAUGGUAUUCAAAAUUGGUCACGAUGUUUCAAUUUAAAAUUUACGCAUUAUAGGCUUUAAGAUUGUGUUAAUUUUACAACUUAUUUUAGAUUGUGUAAGUAUUGUAAGAUGGGCAAAGUAAUUAAGAACUAUGCUGGGUGAGAAAAUCUAACCUUGUACCAUUGUAGUUCACGCUGCAUCUGCAAUGCUGCACCUGGAAUUUGAUUAAGCUGUGCAGAUGGGGACAACAACCCAGCGAUAUGCAGCAUGUUAUUACUAUCCCCAUCGGCUGAAUUUGCGAUAGAGUCUUUAGUAGAGAUCCCGUAUAUAAGGUUAUAAAUCUUUUCUUGACGACAUUCGAUGGCAACGUGAAAUAUGCCCCUUGCCCUGUCAUUUACUAACAUCAGAAGUUCAGGAUUUGCUUUACACAUAUGAGUAACAAACUCCACGUUCCCCUUCCUAACAGCUAGGAAGAUUGCCGACCUCACAGAGGGAUAACUCAUUUGUUGCAUAUCGAAAUCUUUAUUUAUCUCUUCGCAGAUGAGCUUUAAAAAUGCAAGUAAGUUGACAUGGACAAUCUUCAUUUCAUAUAUGCGUUUGAUUCCUGAGUUGACAUUUUAAACCCAAAUGUUUAUGACAUAAACUGAUUUGGAUAAUUGAUUUGAAUUCAAAUCUACAACAAAUGAAAUUGUGACUAGCAUACCAAGUAUCUGAACGAUUUUCGAAACAAGCCCUUCCUUUUGUUUUUCUGAAUGGGAAACAAGCCGUUCCACUAAACCUCCCACUGCAAUGGAAAAAAUGUUGGUGAAACUUAUGGAGCAUGUUGUUAGAUGUACGACCGAUCUAAUGGAACUUGCAUAAUGGAAAAGGAGAUUAUAUUCACACAUUCUAAAUUACUUUUUCUACAUUCUUUCAAUUUUUUAAUAUUUUUCUAUCAGUUGUUAGUGGUGUGUAGAAAAUAUUAAAAAAUUAAAAAAAUGUAAAAGAAGUAAUUUGAAGUAUGUGAAUAUAAUAAUGAAACUGUAUUAAUUAAAUAUUAUAAAACGUGUGACAAAAAUGGCUUUAUUGUGUUUACACUUUACAGAAGCUAGCAAUAACAUGUAUGUUUCUCAUGGUUGAUACACACUAUUACAAACUUCUCUUCUAUCUCCAAACUUCCCUGGGCAAUUUUUCAAGAAAUGAUGAAGCCCAAUUUUUUUUUCACGAACCAGGAGUCUCUACAACUCCAACCUCAUGAUAAAGUACGGAGUUUUGUGCUCUUUAAUUUAGUAUAUUUAAAUAAAAGUUAGUUUUUUUGACCUAGCUUUUUUUUUAAUUUUAUUUUUUUGAACAAAAAAUAUUAACUACACUAAGAAAGUAGGGGAGUGCGUUAAGCCUCAUAAUAAGUUAGCAAUAAUGUGGUUCAAAGUCGCAUUUAAGGAUAAUUAAACUCAUACCUAUAACUUACAAGUCAAGACAAAUACCACUAAACUAUAAUAUUAAAUAGCGACCUAACAUUUAGUAUAUUUAAAUAAUAUGUAAUUUUUGUGCCCUAAUAUUUAGUAUUAUUUAAAUAAAAUUACUUUUUGAAUUAUCUGCACUGUGCACUUUUUACAUUUCAUAUGGCAUGUAUAAAAAUAUAGAUAAAUUGCUGUUUGACCCCUGGAUUUUUUUUGGUAAAUUAACCCCAAAACUAUUUUAAAUCAGCCAAUUAACCUCUCACCUUUAGAUUUGAAAAAAUUCAUCUACUUUGUUGUUAGAUUUGAAGGUAAAUUUGUCUUCUUAACAGUUAGAUUUUAGGGUAGAAGAGAUAAAGGGGAUGACAAAUAAAAAGACAAUUUUACCCUCAAAUUUAAUGGCAGAGUAGAUGAUUUUUUUUUAAUUUUUAAAAUCUAAUGGUAAGAGGUUAAUUGACGGAAAUGAAUCAUCUUCAGAUCCAUUCCUCCUAAUCCAUCAAGUCUGGAGAUCCGGACCAUUGAAAUUUGAUCUAACAGCUACAAACAGGGCCCACUUUAAAAGUUAUAAUAAUUUUGGACGUUGGAUCAAUAACUUUUAAAGUAGGUCCUUGUUUGUAGUCGUUAAAUCAAAUUUCAAUGGUCUGGAUCCCCGGACUUAGUGGAUUAGAAGGAAGGGAUCCGGAGAUGAUCCCUUUCCUUAAUUGACUUAUUUAAAAUAGCUAGGGGUUAAUUUACCAUAAAAAUAAUUCAUGGGAUCAAUUUUAAAUGGUAUAAUAGUUCAGGGGUCAAACGGUAGUUUGCUCAUAAAGAUAUCAUGCCGUUUGUGUAAACUACAAUUUAAAAAAAUAUGAAAAAUAAAAAAGAAAACUCUAAAAAUUUUGCACUUUUCAUAAGUGUAUUUUUUAGUAAUUAUAAAAAGUUUUGAAUGCCAAAUAAGUUUUUUAAGAAUGGUAAUAACAAUUCUCAAUAAAAAAAAAAAGGUUAUUUAUCCUCUCUGUCCUCCCCCCUUCGUCGCUCCUCCCUGCCGUAUCCUCGCUCCCUCUUCUCUUUCACGCAACGGAGCUGUCGUCCAGCGGUCACCAACGACCGUCAAAUGAUAUCUCCAGAAUCUCUUUCCGUCCUCUUUCCAAACCACAGGUUAGUUUCUACAAAUUCGUAGCCGAAUUUCCUUAAUUUUGAUCAGCUUUUGUUUUGUGUGUUUUGCAGGUAUGGGAGCGGCAUACAGGACGAUGAAGACCGGAGUUGGAGUGGCGACGAUGGGUGUGAUGAGGCCAGAGCUGGUGAUGAAGUCGAUCGUGCCGGUGGUUGUAGCGCGAGUUUUGGGUAUUUCCGCAUUUUCAAUCUCGAUUUUACACUACUUCAAUUUGAUUUAGGAUUUUUUUUUGUUGUUUUGCUAUUUUAAUCUGUCACUGGUUGUAUAGAUUGCAACACAUCAAUUGGAUUGUUGAAGAGUCAAGUUUUCUUGGUGUAAUUAUUGUUCUAACUAGAUGCUAAGAGUGUGAACAUUGAUUUGAUGCUUGUAUAUAUAUAUAUAUACAUACAUACAUAUAUAUACAUAUAUAUAUAUGUUUAUAUGCAGGUGGAGCGAAGGUGAAAGCUGACGAAGAUGUUCCACAGAGAGGUAAGUUCUUUAUCUAUUUUCAAUAUAUUGUUCUUAAUUAGCUCAUCGCGUUUUCUUUCGACUUUGUCCUGUAAAAGCUUUAUUUUUCAAGUUGUGGGACUCUUAAAAGUUAUAGGCAAGAAGGGAAUGUGGUCCAACGCCUGCGAGUAAUGCAUUGAGUUUUCUUGGUAGUAAUGCACUUUUUAUUUUUUUUUUGGUUUUGUUUUGGCCCUUAACAUCACUGGAAUAUGUGGUAGUUGAUAUCAUAUCUCUUCGAAGGGAUUUGGCCUUACUUUUGCUGAGGGUGUCGAUAUCAUAUCUUUUCAACUGUUUCUUAAUUUAAGUUUUUAUUUUUUUAAUGGGUUAAACAGCUAAUGAUGAGGAUUGAAUUUUUAAGUAGACUACUUAUUCAUAGGAAGCAGGGUCUUAGAGAAAAUUGUAGUAAAUUCAAAUUCAUUAUUGUUAUUUUCCUUUUUUCACAGGUUCCUGAAGCUUAUGAUCGGCCUCUCUUCUCAGGUAUUGAUAUAACUUCAUUUUAAUGCAGUAUGAUUAUCUUAGAGAUUGUUUUGGCCAGACAAUUUCUCUGUGCACACUAAUAAACUAUAUCAAUUUCUCUGUGCACAAAUAAACUUUACUAAGCUUAGAGAUUGUUUGGGCUGAACAAUUUUUCUUUAAUUUAUAAUGUUGAUUUCUUGUUUGAGUUUCACAUGUGAUUGAUCUAUCAAGAACAGAAACCGAGGUGCGCCUAUUGGUCACGAUUUGAAAGUUGUGCAUAUGGUUCUGUCAUCUAGCAUGGUUGUCAAAAUUAAGGUGCAAAUAGGUUGCCUAUUUGUGCUUAACUCUUUGAGCGCAAAUAGCCAUAUCGUGCCCUCUCAUCAAAUGGCACACCCAUAGAGGGCAUGUAUAAUAGUUUAGUUGCUGCACUGUUACUAUUGAUAUAUGGCACAUACAUUGGUGCCCUUUGACCUCAUAGGGCACAAAUAAUUUUUUGUGCACAGUGGCUAUAUUUUUUGUGGUGAAAUGAGAUAUCUAUGCGUAUUUCAAUUGUUUGUGAACUGAGAGCUAGAGGGUCAAUAACAUAGUGUCACAAGGUUAGGUAAUAGUAAGUCUGCACCGUGUAGCAUUGGAAUACAUGACACCAUACAUGUAAAUCCAUAUUGUGCGAUGACUAUAUGCAUGAAUAAUUAUGCAUCAUGUAGCAAUGAAGUGCAUGUGAUGUUGACUUAGUAUAUUCGUAUUAAGAGAUCACUACAUAUGGGAUCAUAACCUAGUAAAGUCGCAUGUGCGAUCAAUAUUUUCGAAAGAUGAUUGUGGCGUGGUGAAUCCAAAUCAUGCAAUCAUCUUCUCCAGUCAGUAUGUGCUAUAAAGUCCAAAAGGGUAAUCAUGACAUGAUAAAUUCGCCAGCAGCCCAAGUGCUGCCAGGUCGAGGAAGGAAGAAGUAAGGAAUUUUUCAUACUUGGGUUUUAUUGUGUGAAUUCUCUAAGCAAACCCUGAAUUUUAGAAGUAAGGAAUUUUUCAUACUUGGGUUUUAUUGUGUGAAUUCUCUAAGCAAACCCUGAAUUUUAGAAGUAAGGAAUUUUUGAGAAUUCAAGGAAUGCUUAUCUCCUAAAUUAUAAAUAUUCUUGGAGUCCUAUUUUAGGUAGGAUUAGGCUUUGUCUAUUAUGGACUACAAUUGCCCUCCCGGUUGCCUACUAGAGUUCAUGUCUAUAAAUAGUCAAGUCAAACAGGGAAAACGGUAAUUAAGUGGCAAAUUUGUCAUCUAUGUGAGUUGUAAUUGAGACCUCGUACGUACGAAUAAAGAGAAAUAUCAUAUAUUCCCUUGGUUAAAGUUAAGCAGGAAUUUGAAGUGGAUAACCCAAAUUAGAUCGUACCAUUUAUACAACAUUUUUAGCUUGUUAAUGAUGGGAGAGGAAGGGGAUAACAAACCUGAGCGAAAUAAACUCCCUCCGUUAUUAGCUUGGGGAUUUUCUUCAUUUUGAACAGUUACACAGAUAUGAUUGAUGCGAGGAGGAGGUUGUAUAUAUAGACCUAUCAAGACAAGAAAAUAUGUCAUAUAAAAGUGAAAGCAAAUAAUUAAGAGAAAGAGAAGGGAGUAUGUGGUACACUAACAGUCAUAAACCCAUUGUUGCCAGAAAUUGAGCUCCGCACCGCUCAGGAAUGAAGGGUUCGAUGCCAAAGCUUCUAAAGGGGUGAGCAAUAGGCGGUUCAUAGUAACGGCCAAUUUUGGGCAACGUUGAAUUAAAUCCCAUGAGACAUCUGUUUAUUUUUAAUGUUACGAAAUUUCCAGAAAUAAUUAGUUUGCUAUAGUAAUUUGUAACUAUGGGAAAAAAGAGUAAACUGUAGCUAGAAUAAGCUAUUUAUUUUUCAAGUUGUGAAUUGAUAACCAUUUUAUUUUCAGUUUUUGUAAUCACCUUUUUACUUUGAAAACCAAAAACUUGUUAGAUAACUAUAUUUAGUUUUCAAGUUUCAAAAAAAUAAAAAUUGAAGGCUACUGUUUUUUUUAUAGUUUUUCUAACUUUUAAUUUCAGUUUUCAUUUUUUUUCAUUUUUUUUUUUUGAAAUUUGAAAGUAAUUUACCAAACAACUGAAAUGAUUAUCAAACGAAUUCUUAAUUUUCAUUUUUGUAGUCCUCAACAGCAUGUUAUCACUCAUAUUUAAAUUUUUUUACCAAAUUCUUUAGCUGAAAAACAAACGGAGAUUAUUGAAGCGCCAUGAGGUCCUUUGGCUGGCAUUAAAUCUUCAAGUGGAGUGACGGAGUAGAGAUAUCGAGCCAUAUGCCAUUCACCGUCCAAAUAAGCUUGCACAAUUGGAAGAUCGUUGAAAGCAUUGGGAAUGCUGAGUAAUUUUUGGUUCUUUGUUACCAUGCAUUGAGCCAUUUCGAUAAUCCCUUUAGUUGCAGCAAUAGCAAGAGCUGUCCGACCUACUGAUUUUAUUUCCAAGUCGUCCUCAUCCAUCAACGACACCAAUUCUUUGACAAUAUCCACAUGCCCAGCUUCAACUGCAAUGUGAAGAGCUGUCUUCCCAUAAAAUGGAUGUCUUACUCUUACUGCCUCUGGAUGUUGGAUGUAAAAGUCCUUUGCAGUUUCCCAGCGACCAGCUUGCACAGCCUCAAAGAAAGGUUUGUACUGACUAUAUUCAUGUCCUGUCAAAAUUUAUCAUGUUUUGUUAUUAUUAAUUACCCCAUACUUGUUUAGUUUUAUGCUGAACAUUUCUGUAGUUAAAAACUUCAAUCAUAGAAACGAUGGAAGAUAAUGUUAUGGGUUCCUUGUUAUUUAACUUUUUAAUCAAGUUAUAUGAAAUUAUAUGACAACUAGAAAAAUUAUAUGGGAUCAUUGUGAUUAACAAUCCAAACUGUUAGGAAAAUAGAGCACUGAAAUUUAAUCACAAAGAAAACCAAGAAAUCAUUCAUGCCAUUAAUUAUAUACACAGUUUAAAUAUGUUCAAACAAGGAUUUUUAGCCAAAAUGAGCCUUGAGAUUUGCAAACUUUGAUCCCUGAGAUUUGAAAUCAAAGGAAGUGAGUCCCUGAAAUUGUCCAUCAUCAUUUUAUCCUUAUUUUAUGGAGAUUUUUCACAGAAUGACCAAACUAAUUGUUUGUGGAUAAAUUUAGGGACCAAUUCUAUCGAUUUCAAAUCUCAGGGACCAAAAUGAGGAGUUAUGCAAAUCUCCAUGACCAUUUUGGCUAAAAAGCCUUCAAACAAUAAAAAAUAAUGCUAAAUGCACAUGAAUAUGGUUACAAAUAUAUGAAAUUUAUGGUAAAAUUAGACAUUAUAUGUCCUUGAGAUGAUUUGCAUUUUACAACAAUGCUCAUCAUUUUAAAUUUUCAUAUUUUGGAACAAAUUUUCAUCAUUUUCAUUGAAGGCAACCGAUAUCGAUACAUCCAUCGAUAUUUCUAUAAAUUUUUAUAUUGAUCUUCCACUGAUAUCAAUAUUUUUAAACACUAGAUGAUACACAAACAUGGUCUAAAAAUAUAGUAGGGUACUGCUAGGGAGACCAAAUUUGUACACUAAAUGAUUUGGAUGUUGAAGGUUAGAUUAUUAUUAAGUAUUGAUUAAUGUACUUAUUUUCUAUUUAUGACACAUAAUUUAGUUUGCAAAUUUAAUUAAAAAAUUAAUUUCUCUAACAUAUCCAAUAUAGUAUUAUAGCAUUUUCUAAAGAAAAAAGUAUAGACGAUUAUUUAAUUAGAUAAUGAAAUAGGAAAUGAUUAUUAUUUUUUGUCUUUUGGCAAGGAGAGACGCACCUUGUGGCCCUGUGCUUGUAUUGGGCACUGAUGACCCUGUGCUUGUAUUGGGCACUGAUGGAUGUAAUGAUGGCUCCGACACACCUUGUGGCCCUGUGCUUGUAUUGGGCACUGAUGGCCCUGUGCUUGUAUUAGGCACUGAUGGAUGUAAUGAUGGCUCCGACACACCUUGUGGCCCUGUGCUUGUAUUGGGCACUGACGACCCUGUGCUUGUAUUGGGCACUAAUGGAUGUAAUGAUGGCUCCGACACACCUUGUGGCCCUGUGCUUGUAUUGGGCACUGAUGGCCCUGUGCUUGUAUUAGGCACUGAUGGAUGUAAUGAUGGCUCCGACACACCUUGUGGCCCUGUGCUUGUAUCGGGCACUACUGAUGGAUGUAAUGAUGGCUCCAACACACUUUGUGGCCCUGUGCUUGUAUUGGGCACCGAUGGAUGUAAUGAUGGCUCCCUAACACGUUGUGGCAUGUUCUGCCAAACACCUUGUGCCAUGUUCAACCUAUGAUUCAUUGGAGUAUCAUAUCAUAUAUCAUACGUAUUAUCUAAACAAACAAAAAAUUAGCAAUGAAAUUAAAGUAGUCUAAAUACUACUUACGAAUUGAAAGGAAUGGAAGCCAACAAACUGCAGCUAGUUAGUUAUUAAACUCUUGUAAGUAAGCAAAUAAGCAAUGAUAUGAAAUAAAGGCUUGCAUUCGCAAACUAAUAAGAAGAAAAUGGGGGAGGGUGGGAAGGGAAGCUACUUAAAAGUGAAGAGGUGUAUGGGCUGCUUUUCCUCGAAUAUUACGGAUCAACAGGACACGCAACCUCUACUUAAUAUUGGUAUCAUAUUCCUACGUACAUGCAAAGUUGGGCAAAGCCUUGUUAUUGACUGAAGAGGAUUUAAUAAGCAAACCCACACAAAGGUCGAAGGAGUAAUCAAAUGUAACCAAUACAAAAGAAUAAAAACAAAAGGGGGCAGUAGCAUGCUUUAGAAAGUCAGGAAAGAACGAACAGGGAGGUGAUUUGAGCCUAGAGACCUUACGAUUAUUCCUUUAGUAAUUUUGGGGUUACUGGGAAUCUAUUUGUUUGUUUGUUUAAAAUUUUGGGCUAGCCGUUGCAUUUGAUUUUUUUUUUUUUACAGUUUUAUUAUUAUUUUUUAUUUACAAAAUUUUUCAUAUAACUUCUAUUUUUUUUCCUAUAACUUAUAUUGUACAAAAUUUGGUUUAUAUUUUUUUUAAAUUCCAUUUUUUUCCUAUAACUUCUAUUUCACAAAAUUUGUUUCAUAUUUUUUUUAAAUUCCAUUUUUUUCCUAUAACUUCUAUUUCACAAAAUUUAAGUUGUAGUUUUUAAAUAAUAAAUUAUGUUUGGCCCUAUGGCCCUCGGUUGUAGAUGGUUUUUUGUGACAGGGCUAAAACGAGCCCUCUGGCCCUCGGUUGGAGACGGAGGCAAAUAUGGCCGUGUACUGUUCAUUAAAAUAUUAAUAUCUUGGAGAAUCUUGGAGGGUCAGAGGGCUAAAACGAGUCAUCUGGCCAGCCAUCGAUUGGAGAUGGCCUAAUCUUCAUCCCUAGAAUCAUGUUCUUCAAGCUCCCAAACCUACUGUCACACAUGUUAAUGAUAAAAACUUGUUUUUUUUUUUUUCAUGAAUUGAACAUGAAAUUGAAGUUUGGAGGCACCACAUGAGGAAUGGCAUAUUAUAUAGCUAGUAAACCAUAAGACAAUUUUCAGUAGGUUUUGAUUUAUUUAAAGAAAUAUAUUUAAAGUUUGAUCUACACCCAGCAUUGUAUUGGCUAGAACAUACUUGUCCAACGGAUGGUCCGACCAAAAUAAAACCCCGUCCAGCCUGUAGGUUUGGGUUGGCUAGGCUAAAAAUUUUCAGUCCAACAACCUUUAAUGUGGACAUCAAAUGUUGCUUAAUUAUGUGGUGUAUGAUGCAUGGAGCCCUGGUAGUGCAAAUCAUCCUCACCCUACAUUGUUAAUGUAAAUGCUUUUUUUUUCUUCACAUUUCUUGGUUACAAACUUACAGUAAUGGGGUGGUCGAUCGUGGACUCGGAUUUCUUGGUUGAGCUACAGUCGGCUGAUUUGGCACGGGAUAUGGUUGACCUGAUCUUGUCCUUAUUUCUCUAUAAGGAUAUACAUUAUCUGACUGUUUUCUACUGAAAUUCAGAUUAAAUAAAUAAAAUCGUUUACAGAAAAUAACAAAACCAUGCACAGGGAAUGUUGAAUAAAAUUUUAUAAUCUAUCAUAUUGUCUUUUGCUGGAGGCUGUUUGGUUUAUGUGUUUGGAAGGAGGCAAAUCCAUUUUUUAAUUUUGAACUUCUGAAGUUCCGAGAGCAUCUCUAAUAGAGUCUUUAAAUAGGGACAAGCACUGAUAAAAUGAGUAUAAAACAAAUAUAGACAUAAAAUGAAUCUUCAUAGGAUGUAUUCAAUUGAGAAUUUGAAAUACUUUAAUGGAUUUAUAAAGAGUAAUGCUAUUCAUACCAUGUUUUGUACCACAUUUUCAUAUCAUCUUAUAUGAUGUGGACAGCCACAUUAUUUGAAUUAAUCAGAUUUUUAAAUAUAGUUCAUUAUUUAAUAACCUAAUAAUUAAGAAAAACUAGUUAAUUAAAUUAUGAUUGUGGUAUGAGGAGUCUUUCUUCUUCCUUUCCUUGUGUUUUGCAAAUUUUUCAAAUGAUGUGGUUGUCCACAUCAGAUGUCACCUAAGGUGGUAUAGAAAUGUGGUAUAAAAACAUGAUAUGAAUAUCAUUACUCAUUUAUAAAUCCAUGGAUUUUUAUGAGUUUAAUUGAUUUGUAGAUAUUACAUAUAAAAUUUUGAUUCAAUUCCCUCAAAAUCUCAUGGGGAGAGAUGAGAUUUGUAUAUGCUUAAAAUACACUACGAAAUCUCUCCAAUUCUCUCUAAUUCCUCAACUUUCUCAAAUUCUUUAAAACCAAUUUCUAAUUGAAUACACCUUGAAUGUUAUAAAUUUCUUUAAAAUCCUAAUUGAAUACAUCUGGAUUUCUAAGAAUUUUAUAAAUUAUCUUAAAAUUAUAAUUGAAUACACCUUGAAUUUCAGAGAAUAACUUAAAAUUCUGAUUGAAUACCCAUAGAUUCAUCAAAACAAUUAAAAUCCCUCAAAAUCUGAAUUGAAUACACCCCCUUCAAUGGGUCGGAAAAUUAAUCCCUAAAGUACAGGACUCACCAAAUACUUAAUGUAUAUAGCCCCAUAUAAGAACUCAAAUGGCGGAUGGAAAAGUUGGUAAUGCAAGAAUAUCUACGUUUAGAUGCCGGUAAAUUGGCUGGGAGGUAAAUAUAUCCAUUGCAAACUGCGAAGCAACAACUUGCACUUUGUAAAACAAUAUUUAUAUGUUACUGAUGUCUAUAUGAAUUGUGGGUGUCAUAACAAUUUGGAAUUUAGCCAAUGGUAGUAUGUCAUUUUUCCCUCAACAUGUCAAUCCCCGGUCACCCUUGAAAGAAUUUUUCAUUGUGACCGGAACAUAAAGGGUACAUCACAUGUUUUUAUAUAAAUGGUGAAAAUUUUUAUUUUUUAGUUAUUAACUUUUUAACACACAUAUUCUACUAUUUGUAUAAUAACAAGUGAUGUACCAUUCUAUAUAUCGAUCACAUUGAAAAAUUUCUCCACCCUUACCAUCUAAUAGAUCCGCCCCUUUUCCCCCACUCAUUGGUUUGGUGAUAAAAUAUUCUCUCCAUAUUUUUUCUUUUCCUUUGUUAUCCAUAUGCCAAAAUGGAUAUUUGUAAACAAAUAGUAAUAAAAAAAUUUCUCACUAUCAGUACUGGAAACGAAGUAAUAUAUACAAACAAAGUAACAUAUGAGAAUAAGGUGAGGCUAAGGAAGUAAAAUACCCAACACUUGGUCUCGAUGAGAAUUCGGCAUGACAAUUGAGGGAGGGGAAGUGAGGGAGGGAAAUGGAUCUGAUAUCCAAUUUCUGAUCGGAGACCGAGCACAUGGUGGGAUGGAGAUAAAGUAUCACAAUUGAGGAGGGAGCGAGGGAAAUUAAAAGAACGUAAAAGCAGGGAAAAACGCCGAAUAAAGGGUAUAAAGCAUAUGAUAGUUGAGACUCGGUCCAAAGAAAACUGAAAUUAAUCUCAAGAAAGAGUGAGAUUAUCUAAAUUUGACCUUUUGGGUGGCGGCAACAGAGAUCAUGAGACUGAUUUGCCCUGGUAAUCAAUUAAUCGAACUACAAAAGAUAAUGGAAGCACUGUGCGUCUAAUGGGAGAUGGCAUGUGAUUUUUUAUUUUUAUUUUUGGAAGGAAAGGAUAGUGGAUUUCAUUCAUAAAACUGUGAAACGGAGUAACAAGAGGAACUAUACAAUAGGGGAAGUAUCCGCAACUAGUAUAUCAGUGAUUAUACUAGGGGGAGAUCCUAUCCAUUCAUCACAUUGUUCCAUAGAAAGACCAAGACGAGCUAAUAUAUGGGCCGCUGAAUUGGCUUGACAGCGAACGUGGGUGAUGGGAGCUUCAAUGACUGCCGGAGCCAGCGAUUUGAUGUCCUCAAUUAACUAGCCAAGAUGCGACAAGUUAACCGAGGGAUCUCUCAAAGCUUCGACAAUAUGAAGCGAAUCAUAUUCACAUAGGAUAUUAGAAAAACCCUUUUCGAGCGCCCAGAUCAAGCCAACUCUAACGGCCAUAGCUUCCGAUUGAAGGGGUGAGAAGAGGUCAGCGAAACCACCGCACUUAGCAGCCACGAAACAGCCUGAUGUAUCUGUAAAACUAUAACACACUUGAGGUUUCACUUCAGUUGCAUACCCAAUCAACAAUGGGUUGCAUGUAUUUAUAACAACUUCAGGAUUACAAUGGAAGUUUGAAAACCCUAAAUACAAGCAAUUUUCAAAAAUACAAACAGAAGCGUAAAGAUUACAAACCGAACUUUGCGUACAACAAAUAUUUGAAAUACAAAUCCCUAGAAACUAGGAGUAUCAGAAUAGGAUAAGAGUUUGAUAAAUAUCACAACUCCUCAAAACUCGGCAAGCACGCUGGACCUUGACUUCGUCUAACACCCCCCGCAAGCUGACAGGUUGAGGAACAACAGGAAGCUUGGACACCAACAUCUUGAAUCUAGACGAAGACAGACCUUUAGUAAAUAUAUCUGCAAGCUGAUCUUGAGAACAAAUGUAAUUAACCAACAGUUCACCACGAACUACUUUCUCCCUGACGUAGUGAUAAUCAACCUCUAAAUGCUUAGUUCGUGAAUGAAACACAUGAUUCGAAGCAAGAGCUAUGGAAGACACAUUGUCACACCAUAUCUGAGGCCGUAUAUGUUAGACAAUAGAAUCCUAGUCAAAGUAAUAGAUAUGAUUGUAAUCCUAAUUGUGAUUGUAUUCCUAGUUUGUAGGGAUUAUGCCUUGUAGAGCAAGGAAUGUACUUGUAUAUAUUUCUUAUUCACGUAUCAAUGAAAUAUACUUUUACCCUAUACAUCCUUUUCUACAUGGUAUACAGAGCAGGCUUCAUAACCCUAGCUUCUUUUAAUAUUUUUUUUUCGGCAGCCUCAUCCUCCUGCCGUUAUUGUUCUUGUUCUUCCAUCAUGGGAGAUUCCGAUUCCAGUACUCCUUUUUAUAUUCACCAUUCUGAUCACCCUAACCUUGUUCUUGUUUCCAAAAAAUUAAAUGGCGACAACUACACCACCUGGGCACGCGGCAUGGAGAUCUCUUUGAGCGCCAAGAACAAACUUGGCUUUAUUAAUGGUGACAUUGCCGAACCGUCCUCCUCCGAAGACCCUGAUACGCACGCUGCCUGGCGUCGCUGCAACGAUAUGAUUCUUUCAUGGCUUCUUCAUUCUUUGGAGCCUGACCUUGCCGAGUCCGUCCUCUUUUCCACUACUGCCAAAGUCGUUUGGGACGACCUCCGUGAACGGUUCUCCCAAAGCAAUGAUCCUCGUAUUUUUCAACUCAACCGUGACCUUGCCACUAUCUCUCAAGGCACUUCAUCUGUUUCCGCCUACUUCACUCAUCUCAAAGGCCUUUGGGACGAACUUGCCUCCUACAAUGACCACUGCACUUGUUCUUCUGGCACCAAGAACGACAGACAACAACUUAUGCAGUUUCUCAUGGGCCUUAACGUGUCUUUUUCGACCGUUCGUGAUCAAAUCCUCUUGAUGAACCCACUGCCCACCGUUCGCCAAGCAUGCUCCUCCGUGUCUCAGGUAGAGAAGCAACGUUCGAUGGGUUCUCUUCGUUCAGCCGAUUAACCUGCAGCAGCCAUGGCGGUCCGUGGAUCGUCCCGUGCUUCCUCCGACCGUCCUCCUCUUCACUGCACUUAUUGCAACUAUGAUUUUCACACCCGUGACACCUGCCACAAGCUUCAUGGUUAUCCUGUUGGUCAUCCUUUCCAUGGCCAACCAUGGAGGCCACCCCGUCGUUCUACAUCUGUUGGUUCUUCUCGCAGCAACAAUGGUGCUCCUCUUCCUGCCCGUCACACCCAUGCAGCUAAUCCUCGGCCCACUCUCAGGCCCACACGGCUUCAGUCCCUCCAUCAGCCCACCACGUGCAAGGGCAGCCCACACUGCAUGAUGUUCAGCUUGCUAUGCCACAUCUCUCGGCCGACCAACACUCCCGAGUCCUUGCUGCCCUAACUGAUGCUGCCAACCCUCAUUCAUCUCCUCAGGCUCAUGCUGUUUUUAAUAAGGACUUUGCCAAAGGUUUGUUUCCCGUAGCUUCUCGUCUUGGUCAAUGGAUCAUUGACAGUGGAGCUACAGAUCAUAUUACUUCAUCUGCCUCAUGUUUGGUUAAUACUUCUCCUUCAUAGUUACCACCUGUUUCUUUGCCUAGUGGUUCUACCGCACCUAUUUCUUUAACUGGCACUCUCCAUUUAAAUUCCUCUAUACAUGUGAACGAUGUCUUAUGCGUCCCUAAUUUUAAUGUGGACCUUUUAUCGGUUGGUAAGCUUACAGAUGGAUUAUCGUGUUCCGUAACAUUUUUUCCCACUUGGUGUGUUUUGCAGGACUUGGUUUUGAAGGCGAUGAUUGGUGUGGGUAAGCGACGUGGCGACCUAUAUUACCUUGUGGCCCUUGCCUCUUCCCUUCCCUCCUGUCAGCCCCUCUGCCAUGUCAUCACCAUCCCAUCUUCCCUGUGGCAUAGGCGCCUUGGUCAUCCUUCCUCUCCUCGUUUACAAGUUUUAGCUUCUAAAUUUUUAAAUUGUUCUUUUGAUUCUAGUCAUGUUUGUGAUGUUUGUCCUUUGGCGAAACAAACCCGUCAACCUUUUGGUUUAAGUUCAAUUUCAACAACUUUUCCUUUUGCUUUAAUUCAUUGUGAUAUUUGGGGUCCGAAUUGUCAAUCUUCCCUUUCUGGAGCUCAUUAUUUUUUAACCAUUGUGGAUGAUUUUUCUCGCUUUACGUGGGUCUUUCUCAUGAAACAUAAAUCUGAUACUCAACAAUUAAUCAAGGAUUUUUUUGCUUAUGUCCAUACCCAAUUCCAUACUCAUAUCCAAUGCAUUCGUACUGACAAUGGCGGCGAAUUUCUUUCUCUUCGUCCUUUUUUUUCCGCUAAUGGGAUUUUACUUCAAACUUCUUGUGUCUAUACCCCUCAACAAAAUGGCGUUGUUGAAUGCAAACAUAGGCACCUCCUAGAAACCGCCCGCGCACUCCGCGUUCAGUCCCAUCUUCCUCUCAAAUUUUGGGGUGAAUGUAUCCUUACCGCUGCUUAUUUAAUCAAUCGUUUUCCCACUCGUCUUCUGCACAAUAAAUCUCCCUUUGAGAUCCUCCAUAACAAAGUCCCCACCUAUGAUCACUUCCGCGUCUUUGGUUGUUUAGCCUAUGCCACCUCUGUCAUUCCACCCACUAAAUUUUCCCCUCGAGCCCAUCGUUGCAUCUUCCUUGGUUACCCUCCUGCCCAAAAGGCAUACAAACUAUAUGACCUAGCCACUCACCGCAUCUUCACAAGUCGGGACGUAAUUUUCCAUGAAGAUUCCUUCCCUUAUACUCUUCCACCCACCCAUACCGCUUCACCCACUCCUACCCUGCCUCUUCCUUCUUCUCUGGACCUUCCUUAUCCCCCACUCCCUGUCACUACGUCACACCCACCUACUGCACCUCCUGCCACCUCAUCCCCGACUCCCUCUCCUGACGACACAUCCCAUGUCCAUCCUUCCACCACUAUAGCCACGGCCCCACCUGUUCCCUCCACCGCUUCCCCCUCUAGUUCCACCCACCUACCCCCGGACCCCACCACCUCCACGCUCACCUCUCCUUCUGACCUUCCCCCCACCCCUCGCAUCUCUUCCCGUACCUAUAAAACCCCAUCCUAUUUAAAGGACUAUGUUUGCUCGCAGGUGAUUCUGCCACCACACCAAUCUUCCACUUCGCAACCCAGUUCUAUAAAAGGUACGCGAUAUCCCAUUUGUAAUUUUAUUUCUUAUCACCGUUAUUCUCCCCAGCAUCUUUCCUAUAUAUAUUCUGUUAGUCAGCAUGUGGAGCCCUCCUCAUUUGCCGAGGCUGCCAGUGAUCCUCAUUGGCGUCGUGCCAUGACUGUGGAGCUUCAAGCAUUACAUGCUAAUGGUACUUGGACCAUGACUACCUUGCCACCUGGCAAAGUUCCUAUUGGUUGUAGGUGGGUUUACAAAUUGAAGUAUAAUUCUGAUGGUUCUAUCGACCGCUACAAAGCUCGCUUAGUUGCCAAAGGUUACACUCAGGCUGAAGGUAUUGAUUAUCAUGACACUUUCUCUCCUACUACUAAGAUGAUUACGGUGCGUUGUCUUCUCGCAUUCGCUGCUAGCCAGUCUUGGUCUCUUCAUCAGCUUGAUGUUAAUAAUGAUUUUUUGCACGGUGACUUACAUGAGGAAAUUUAUAUGUCUACUCCUCCUGGUCUUCGGCGACAGGGGGAGAAUCUUGUGUAUCGCCUCCAUAAAUCUCUAUAUGGUCUUAAGCAAGCUUCUCGCCAAUGGUUUGCAAAAUUCACUACUGCCAUUCUUUCCGUUGGUUUUCAACAAUCAAAGGCUGACUAUUCAUUGUUCACCAGAAAGUCCGGUACUUCUUUUACAGCAUUACUUAUUUAUGUGGAUGAUAUUGUGAUUACAGGCAACGAUCUCAGAGCUAUAGAUUCUCUCAAGACUUUUCUCCGUGAUCGUUUUCGGUUAAAAGACCUUGGUGAAUUAAAAUAUUUCUUAGGUAUUGAGGUCUCUCGAUCUCAACGUGGCAUUUAUAUUUCACAACGAAAGUAUGCAUUGGAGAUUCUUAGGAUUAUGGUUUUCUGGGGGCACGUCCCAUUGCUUUCCCUAUGGAUGAUACAAAAUUAUCUGAUCAAGGAGAACUUCUCAAGGAUCCUGAAAAAUAUCGGCGCUUAGUAUGAAGGUUGAUUUAUCUUACCAUAACUCGGCCAGAUAUCACUUAUUCCGUGCAUGUUUUGAGUCGGUUUAUGCACGAGCCUCGUAUCUCUCAUAUGGAUGCUGUGCUUUGUGUUGUUCAUUAUUUGAAAUCUACUCUAGGUCAAGGCUUAUUAUUUCGUUCUGACAACCAGACCAAGCUAGCUGCAUUUUUUGACUCUGACUGGGCAGGUUGUCCUAUCACUCGCCGUUCGACUACUGGGUAUUGUGUUUUCUUGGGAAACUUUAAUUUCGUGGUGAACAAAGCGACAGAAAACCGUGUCGCUUUCCUCAGCUGAGGCAGAAUAUAGGGCUAUGGCAGGUGCUUGUUAUGAGUUAGUUUGGCUUCGACAUUUAUUGAAGGAUUUGAACGUUUCUUUAGAAGGUCCUUCCGUGUUAUUUUGUGAUAAUCAAGCAGCAUUGCACAUAACCGCUAAUCCCGUCUUUCAUGAGCGGACUUGUCACAUAGAGAUGGAUUGUCACUUCAUACGGGAUAAGAUUGCAGAUGGCACUAUAGCAACCAAAUAUGUGGGUACGGCACACCAGUUAGCAGAUUUGUUCACUAAGCCUCUUGGGAAAGACAAGUUUACAACUUUGAUGUGCAAGUUGGGUGUUCUUGACAUUCACUCUCCAACUUGAGGGGGACUGUUAGACAAUAGAAUCCUAGUCAAAGUAAUAGAUAUGAUUGUAAUCCUAAUUGUGAUUGUAUUCCUAGUUUGCAGGGAUUAUGCCUUGUAGAGCAAGGAAUGUACUUGUAUAUAUUUCUUAUUCACGUAUCAAUGAAAUAUACUUUUACCCUAUACAUCUUUUUCUACAGUAUAAGAUGUAACUGCAAAUCUCGGAAUAACGAUCGCAACUAUGAAAUUUCAGCUGCUGUGUAGGCAAGUUGCCUGUACUCGGCCUCAGAACUCGAACGAGAAACUGUUUUCUGUUUCUUGGAACUCCAGGACACCAGGUUUGAACCAAGAUAAAUACAAAACCCACCAGUAGAAUGCCGAGUGUCUGGAUUCCCAGCAUAGUCCGCAUUAGAGAAAGCAGAAAGAUGAGCAGUACCUGGUUUAUAGAGAAGACCAUGACUAUGCGUAGCCUUCAAGUAAUGUAAAAUUCGUUUGACUGCCAUCCAGUAAACCGUUGUUGGAGCAGGCAUAAAUUGACAGACUUGAUUAACUGCAUAAGAUAAGUCUGGGCGAGUUAUUGUCAAGUAUUGUAGAGCACCUACGACACUACGAUACAACUCUGGUUGAUCAAAAGGGUCGCCAUCAUGAGCACUUAGUUUCUGACCAGAAGACAUUGGUGUAGAAAUUGGUUUAGCCUUAGUAAAUUUGGUACGGGACAACAAGUCGAGAGCAUACUUAGAUUGACACAAAUGCAUGGUAGUUCCAUCGUACUUGACUUCUACACCCAAGAAGUAAUUCAACCCUCCCAAAUCCUUCAUGGAGAACAAAGUACUCAACUUCGUAAUUAACUUGGACAUAUGACGAGGACUGUUCCCAGUUACCAAAAUAUCAUCCACAUAGAUGAGAAGAAUAAGAUACACCCCUUUGUGAUUGAACACAAACAAACUGUAAUCACAAGUGGAUUCCUGAAAACCAAGUUGAAGCAGAAAAUCUGAGAAUCGCUGAAACAGGCCCUAGGAGCCUGUUUGAGGCCAUAAAUAUUGCGUUCAAGUUUACAAACAUGAUUAGGUAACUGCUGAUCAACAAAACCCGGAGGCUGGCGCAUGUACACUGUUUCGGUCAAGAAACCAUGCAAAAACACAUUUUGGACGUCAAGCUGCCUCACACGCCAACCUCUUGUAACUGCAAGACUUAAAACAAGUCAAAUUGUACUAUGUUUAACCACGGGACUGAAAGUCUCAUUAUAAUCUAUACCAGCCUUUUGAUGAAAUUCAUUGGCGACAAGCCGCGCCUUGUAACGUUCAAUUGUUCCAUCUGCAUGUCUCUUCAAUUUGAAAACCCAUUUGUUUGGUAGUAAAUUCAUUUUUGGAUGAAACGGGACCAAACGCCAAGUUCCAUACCGUUGCAAAGCAUUAAAUUCUUGUACCAUUGCAUUCCUCCAAUCCUGGGAUUUGACAGCUUGACUGAAACAAGUUGGCUCACUAGGAGAAUUAUUAAUAGUCACAAGCAUGGCAUACUUUGGGUUUGGUUUGUGAAUACCAGACUGGGAACGUGUAGUAACACGAUGGCCUGUAGAACCUGACACCACUGGGACUGAUUCCGUAGAUAUUUCAACUUGUUCACAUGAAGGUAUGGUUGAUGACACAGACGAGGAUGACACUAGGGUAGUAGGGUUAGGGCUUGAGGUGACAACAGAAGUAAUGUGGCCAGGAUGAUACUGUGCAGUGUUUGGGGCAGGUUGAGACGGUGCAGUGGUGGGAAGAGGUUGAAACUGUUCAGGGUGUGGUAUGAGGUCAGUGGACACUGAAUGUUUCCCGAGUGUAUGUAUAUCGUCUAACUCUAGAUGGAUUUUUUUCAGAUACUUUAUGAGAUUGGAGAACUUUUAGCAAGCACUUUGAACCUUUCCUUUUCAAGAGACAAGAUCACGUGGAAUCCAACAAGAAAAUCAAAAGAUGAUCGGGAGCCAUGGCGUGCAUUAUAUGGUUAAACCUCUACUGUCUGUGACAUUAGAGGUUGAGACAAGAUCUAUCGUCGAGUGCAUCAGGUUGAAAAACUUUCAGUUCAUACUGUGAUUGAUAGAUCUAUGUUCAACAUCAUAGUGCUUAAACUUUCAUUUAUGGAUUAUAUAUUAAGGAUGAUGGGAUAAUCUGAAUGAUUAGUUCAUGUGUUCAUCCUGUUGGGUGCAUUGUAUGGUUCUUAUUCGAACCUGUAAUGUAGUAACUACAAUCAAAUCAUUCAUCAUACAAUAAAAACGAAUCAUGCAAUACACUAAAACAAGACAUCAUUUAGUAAUACAGUUUAGUAGUGUUCCUCUUCAUUUGUAAAUGAGAGGUUCUACAUAUACCACCAAUUUAUUUCUUAAUAUAUAAUCCAUCGAAUUAGUUACACCUCUAAUUUUGGAAUCUCACAUAAACAGAUACAAUAAGAAAUAUAAAAUAAUGAAAUACCUUUACAACCAACGUUUCACAUUCCUAUUAAAUAUUCCUUUUCCGUAAGUAGAAACGGUAAUUCUAACUAGGAGGGGGAAUUGCAUCCCAGCAAAUAAAGUGACUGGAACACUUGAAAGAAGUAUGGUCGGAAUCACAAUCCAAGAAUGUCCACGAACUAUAAUUAGAAGGGCAGCGGAAAACGCAACCAUCAUGGUUGCAAUAGCGAAAAAGAGAGUGGCAAGACCAAUUAUCAUUUUUGUGGGUAAGGAUUUCAGGAAAUCAUCUUCUGCGAAACGUGACGUGAGAAUUCCAAGAAACGUCAAUGUUGCAGUCGUGGAAGAAAAGAGUGAUAUAGCAUCUGAAAUUAUAAAUAACAUAAACAAUUUUUCAUCGAUGAAUGUGGGAAAACCGGUAUCUCCAUUUCCUCCAGGAAUUGUGAUUACUGCAGCAAACAUGAUGGUGAUAAUAAGAGCACCUACAACAGUGUAAGAAGUUGCCGUCUCUUUCAUCCAUUUUUCUCCUUCCUUUAGCAAUUCACUGUGAUUCUUUGUAAAUAGUUCCCUUGGUUUCAAAUUUUCAUUGAAGUUCAUACACUCAAGAAACUUAGGAGGUACAAUAGUCUCUACUUCCUGCAUUGCAUUGAACAACUACUGAUAUAUGAGAGCAUAAAAUAUAAUUUUCUAUAAUCUUUGUUAUAUUAGGGUUAACUACAUUUUACACUCCAAGAUCUGAACAUGGUAUUCAAAAUUGAUCACAAUGUUUCAAUUUUAACAUUUACGUAUUAAAGGCUUUAAGAUUGUGUUAAUUUUACAACUUCUUUUAGAUUGUGUAAGUACUGUAAUAUAGGCAAAGUAAUUAAGAACUAUGCUGAGUGAGAAAUUCUAACCUUGUACCAUUGUAGUUCACGCUGCAUUUGCAAUGCUGCACCUGGAAUAUGAUUACGUUGUGCAGAUGGGGACAACAACCCAGCUAUAUGUAGCAUGUUAUUAUUAUGCUCAUCGGCAAGAUUUGUGAUAGUGUCUUUCGUAGAUAUCCCAUAUAUAAGGUUAUAAAUCUUUUCUUGACGACAUUCGAUGGCAACGUGAAAUAAGCCCCUUGACCUGUCAUCUCCGAACAUCAGAAGUUCAGGAUUUGCUUUACACAUAUGAGUAACAAACUCCACGUUCCCCCUCCUAACAGCUAGGAAGAUUGCCGAACGCACAAAGGGAUAACUCAUUUGUUGCAUAUCGAAAUCUUUAUUUAUCUCUUCGCAGAUGAGCUUUAAAAAUGCAAGUGAGCCGACAUGGACAAUCUUCAUUUCAUAUAUGCGUUUGAUUCCUGAGUUGACAUUUAAAACCCAAAUGUUUAAGACAUAAACUAAUUUGGAUAAUUGAUUUGAAUUCAAAUCUACAACAAAUAAAAUUGUUACUAGCAUACCAAGUAUCUCAACGAUUUUCGAAACAAGCCCUUCCUUUUGUUUUUCUGAAUGGGAAACAAGUCGUUCCAUUAAACCUCCCACUGCAAUGGAAAAAAUGUUGGUGAAACUUAUGGAGCAUAUUGUUAGAUGUACGACCGACCUAAUGGAACUUGCAUAAUGGAAAAUGAGAUUAUAUUCACACAUUUCAAAUUACUUCUCCCACAUUCUUUUAAUUUUUUAAUAUUUUUCUAUCAGGUGUUAGUGGUGUGUAGAAAAUAUUAAAAAAUUAAAAAAAUGUGAAAGAAGUAAUUUGAAGUAUGUGAAUAUAAUCUCUCUAAUGGACAUCCAAGGUGUGUAGACCAAGAGUGGGUUUCAUAACCCUAGCGGUGCCACUUCGCCCAACAGUCAACUUUUCAGUCAACAUGCUACAAGUCUCGUUCUGUAGUACCACUAAAUUUAGAGGUGUGCUAUCCACACACUCUAUUUUACUUUUUACACAUCCCUUGAUAAUUUAUGUCCGUUGAUCUUCUUCAAUUCAUCCGAUCCGACGGCCGAAAAUUAAAAAUGUAUGUGAAACGUAAAAUGAGAUGUGUGGAUAUCACAUCCCUAAAUAUAAUAGUCGUUGGACUUCAAAUGGUCAUUUGACCUUUGGUUGGUCGCAAGACAUUUUAGUCAUUCGCACAUUUAAGUUCUCAUUUCCUCAAUAGUGUGUUGUCACGGGCAACAUGCACACCGAUUUGCGUGCAAGUGAGGACCAUAUCACAAUUUGCGUGUUAUAAAGGUAACCACAUAAACGUGUUGUGCUCAUAGAACGUUGAAUUAUUUUCUUAGGCAUUGAUACUAUCUGAGUGCUUCUAUCUACGUGCUACCAAGUGUUGAUAAAUAGCUUUGGACUUUAGGUGAGUGAUUUAAGUUAUUAUUAUUUGUUAUAGGUCUAAUUUACUGAACUGUAUUUAGGACUAGAGAGGAAGAGGGCCGGCGGCAAGAGAAAGAAGAGAGAAAUGUAAUUCUGAGGUAUGUUGUAUGCCUUUAUUUAUAGUAUUAUGGUAAGUUAAAUCCUUAUUCUAAUAGGAUUACAAAUCUUAUAGGAUAUUAACUAUUAAAAUGAAUAUUCAAAGAUAUUCCUAUAUACAAUAGAAUUUACACAAUCACAUUGCUAAUCUAAUAGGACUGCAACAUCAUCAUCAUCAUCAUCAUCAUCAUCAUUAUUAUUAUUUAUUUUAAUAAAUGAUAUUAUCUACACUAAGGAGAAGGUGGUGGACUAGGCCUCACAAUGAACUAGUAAUAAGGUGGUUCAAAUUUGUCUUUGACAAGAAUUGACUCUAAGACCUCUCACUUACAAGUGAAGAGGAAUACUACUAGACCGUAGUACCAAGUGACACAUAAAUAUUUAAAUAUAUUAUAUGAUAUUGCUACUGGUACUUUUAAUUAGUCAUGAUCUUUUAUGAAAGGGUAAUGCUAUCUAUACACUUCUUUUUUACCUCACACACACACCUCUUAAUUUUCAACCGUCAGAUCGAAUGAAUUGAAGAAGAUCAAAUGACAGAAAAUAACAAGAGGUGUAUAUGACGUAAAAAUGAGUGUGCAGAUAGCACCGCCCAAAUUUUUCAUACAAAAAAAAUGGCCCUUGGGUACAAAUUAAGGACACAAAUGAGGAAUUCGUGUCUCUUUGAACAUCAAAUAGGGUGGAUUAAUGUCUAGUCAAUAAUGGGCACCCCAUAUUGUGUCCAAUGUGAAAAGAUGAACACAAAACACUAAUGGGCACGGACCGUGCGAAGAGAGACAUGUGUCCGUUGGCUUGACAACUUUUUGAUAAAACAUAGAUACGAAAGACUUUUUGUGUCUAUAAAUAGGAUUUAUAAGCACAAUGACAUUGUGCCCAUCUUUAUAAUAAUGAAACUGUAUUAACUAAAUAUUAUAAAACGUGUGACAAAAAUGGUUUUAUUGUGUUUACACUUUACAGAAGCUUAGCAAUAACAUGUAUGUUUCUCAUGGUUUAUACACUAUUACAAACUUCUCUUCUAUCUCCAAACUUCCCUGGGCAAUUUUUUUAUGAAGCCCAAAUUUUUUUUCACGAAGGCUAAAUAGCCAAUAUGGUCCUUGAGAUUUGCAUAACUCAUCACUUUGGUUCCUAACAUUUCAAAUUAAUAAAAGUGGUCCUUGAGAUUGUCCACCAUUCAUCAUUUUGGUCCCGUUAAAAACUCCGUUAAGUGUCCCGGAGCUCUUGGCUGGAAGUUUGGUCAAUUUUCAAAGCUUCGUAACUUAAUCGUUUCUUAACCAAAUUCGACCCAUAAUAUAUCAAAAUGAAGAUAGGAAAGUGUAGAAUAAGAUUAUACCUAUUUGAAAGCCCAAUGGCUGCCGGAGAUGGCUGGAAAAUAGCCUCAAAGUUGACAGGUCCGAGGGAAAACUGGAAAACUUGCCGGAAACUGGGUAAACUUUAAACAUUCAUAACUUCUUCAAUACUAAACGAAAUCAAGUGAUUCAAAAACGAAAAUCAUACUUCUCGACGAGAUGAAGAGAACGGUAUCUUUUUAGAUGGAUAAAUCGCCUUGGUUUGGCCAAAAAAGGGCUCGAAAGUGGCUAACUUGAGACCAAGACAGCCACUUUCGAGCCGUUUUCCGGCCAAACCACGGAGAGUUAGCUAUCGAAAAAGGUACCAUUCUCUUCGUCUCAUCAAGAAGUAUGAUUUUCGUUUUUGAAUCACUUGAUUUCAUAGAAGUUAUGAACGUUCAAAGUUUACCCAGUUUCCGACGAGUUUUCCAAUUUUCCCUCGAACCAGUCAACUUUGAGGCUAUUUUCUGCCCAUCUCCGGCUGCCAUUGGGCUUCCAAAUAGGUAUAAUCUUAUUCUACACUUUCCUAUCUUUAUUUUGAUAUAUUAUGAGUCGAAUUUGGUUAAGAAACGAUUGAGUUACGAAGCUUUGAAAAUUACCCAAACUUCCGGCCAAGAGCUCCGAAACACUUAGUGGAGUUUUUAACGGAAUGAUCAAAAUGAUGGAUGGUGGACAAUCUCAGGGACCACUUUUAUUGAUUUGAAAUGUUAGGGACCAAAGUGAUGAGUUAUACAAAUCUCAGGGACCAUUUUGGUUAUUUAGCCUUUCACGAACCAGGAGCCUCUACAACUCCAACCUCAUGAUAAAAUACGGAGUUUUGUGCUAUUUAAUUUAGUAUAUUUAAAUAAAAGUUAAUUUUUUUGCCCUAGUUUAUUUAUUUUUUUUUUAUUUUUGAAAGAAAAAUAUUAACUACAUUAAGAAAGUAGGGGAGUGCGUUAAGCCUCAUAAUGAGUUAACAAUAAUGUGGUUCGAAGUCGCAUUUGACGAUAAUUAAACUCAUACCUUUCACUUACAAGUCAAAACAAAUACCACUAGACUGUAAUACUAAGUAGUGACUUAACAUUUAGUGUAUUUAAAUAAUAUGUAAUUUUUGUGCCCUAAGAUUUGUUAUUAUUUAAAUAAAAUUACUUUUUGAAUUAUCUGCACUGUGCACUUUUUACAUUUCAUAUGGCAUGUAUAAAAAUAUAGAUUGCCGUUUAACCCCUAAACUAUUGUGUCAAUUGAAAUUGACCCCCAUGAUUUUUUUUUUGGUAAAUUAACCCCCAAAACUAUUUUAAAUCAGCCAAUUAACCCCUCAUCGUUAGAUUUGAAAAAAUUCAUCUACUUUGCUGUUAGAUUUGAGGGUAAAUUCGUCUUCUUAACGGUUAGAUUUUAGGGUAGAAGAGAUAAAGGGGAUGACAAAUAAAAAGACAAUUUUACCCUCAAAUUUAACGGCAGAGUAGAUGAUUUUUUUUUUUUUCAAAUGUAAUGGUAAGAGGUUAAUUGAUGGAAAUGAAUUCUCUCUGUAUCCAUCAAGUCUGGAGAUUCGGAUCAUUAAAAUUUGAUCUAACGGCUACAAAUAGGGCCCCAUUUUAAAAGUUAUAAUAACUUUUAAAGUGGGCCCCUCUUUAUAGCCGUUUGAUCAAAUUUUAAUGGUCCGGAUCUCCGGACUUGGUGAAUUAGGAGGAAGGGAUCCAGAGAGGAUCCCUUUCCUUAAUUGACUUAUUUAAAAUAGCUAGGGGGUUAAUUUACCAUAAAAAUAAUUCAUGGGAUCAAUUUUAACUGGUACAAUAGUUUAGGGGUCAAACGGUAGUUUGCUCAUAAAGAUAUCAUGCCUUUUGUGUAAACUACAAUUUAAAAAAAAUAUGAAAAAUAAAAAAGAAACUGUUAUUAGCACUUUAAAAGUCUCAUUAUGUACUCUUCAUAAAUGUAUUUUUUUCUAACUAUAAAAAAUUUGAAAUGCCAAAUAAGUUUUAAGAGUGGUAAUAACAAUUUUCAAUAAAAAAAAAGGUGAUUAAUCCUCUCUGUCCUCCCUCCCUCCCCUCUUCGUCUCUCCUCCCUACCGUAUCCUCGCUCCCUCUUCUCUUUCACGCAACGGAGCUGUCGUCCAGCGGUCACCAACGACCGUCAAAUGACAUCUCCAGAAUCUCUUUCCGUCCUCUUUCCAAACCACAGGUUAGUUUCUACAAAUUCGUAGCCGAAUUUCCUUAAUUUCAGAUCUAAGAAACGUAAGGAUUUUGAUCGGCUUUUGUUUUGUGUGUUUUGCAGGUAUGGGAGCGGCAUACGGGACGAUGAAGACCGGAGUUGGAGUGGCGACGAUGGGUGUGAUGAGGCCAGAGCUGGUGAUGAAGUCGAUCGUGCCGGUGGUUGUAGCGCGAGUUUUGGGUAUUUCCGCAUUUUCAAUCUCGAUUUUACACUACUUCAAUUUGAUUUAGAAUUUUUUUUUGUUGUUUUGCUAUUUUAAUCUGUCACUGGUUGUAUAGAUUGCAAUACAACAUCAAUUGGAUUGUUGAAGAGUCAAGUUUUCUUGGUGUAAUUACUGUUAUAACUAGAUGCUAAGAGUGUGAACAUUGAUUUGAUGCUUGUAUAUAUAUGCAGGUGGAGCGAAGGUGAAAGCUGACGAAGAUGUUCCACAGAGAGGUAAGUUCUUUAUCUAUUUUCAAUAUAUUGUUCUUAAUUAGCUCAUCGCGUUUUCUUUCGACUAUGUCCUGUAAAAGCUUUAUUUUUCAAUUCAUAAAAAGUUAUGGGACUCUUAAAAGUUAUAGGCAAGAAGGGAAUGAGGUCCAACGCCUGCGAGCAAUGCAUUGAGUUUUCUUGGUAGUAAUGCAUUUUUUUUUGGUUUUGUUUUGGCCCUUGAACAUCACUGGAAUAUGUGGUAGUUGAUAUCAUAUCUCUUCGAAGGGAUUUGGCCUUACUUCUGCUGAGGGUGUCGAUAUCAUAUCUUUUCAACUGUUUCUUAAUUUAAGUUUUUAUUUUUUUAAUGGGUUAAACAGCUAACGAUGAGGAUUGAAUUUUUAAGUAGAGUACUUAUUUAUAGGAAGCAGGGUCUUAGAGAAAAUUGUAGUAAAUCAAAUUCAUUAUUGUUAUUUUCCUUUUUUCACAGGUUCCUGAAGCUUAUGAUCGGCCUCUCUUCUCAGGUAUUGAUGUAACUUCAUUUUAAUGCAGUAUGAUGCUUUUAGAGAUUGUUUUGGCCAAACAAUUUCUCUGUGCACACUAAUAAACUAUAUCAAUUUCUCUGUGCACAAAUAAACUUUACUAAGCUUAGAGAUUGUUUAGGCUGAAUAAUUUUUCUUUAAUUUAUAAUGUUGAUUUCUUGUUUGAGUUUCACAUGUGAUUGAUCUAUCAAGAACAGAAACCGAGGUGCUCCUAUUGGUCACGAUUUGAAAGUUGUGUGUAUAGUUCUGUCCUAUUGGUGCUUAACUCUUUGAGCGCAAAUAGUCAUAUCGUGCCCUCUCAUCAAAUGGCACACCCAUAGAGGGCACGUAUAAUAGUUUAGUUGCUGCACUUGCUACUAUUGAUAUAUGGCACAUACGUUGGUGCCCUUUGACCUCAUAGGGGCACAAAUAACUUUUUGUGCACAGUGGCCAUAUUUUUUGUGGUGAAAUGAGAUAUCUAUGCGUAUUUCAAUUGUUUGUGAACUGAGAGCUAGAGGGUCAAUAACAUAGUGUCACAAGGUUAGGUGAUAGUAAGUCUGCACCGUGUAGCAUUGGAAUACAUGACAUCAUACCUGGUAAAUCCGUAUUGUGCGAUGACUAUAUACAUGAAUAAUUAUGUAUCAUGUAGCAAUGAAGUGCAUGGGAUGUUGACUUAGUAUAUUCGUAUUAAGAGAUCACUACGUAUGGGAUCAUAACCUAGUAAAGUCGCAUGUGCGAUCAAUAUUUUCGAAAGAUGAUUGUGGCGUGGUGAAUCCAAAUUAUGCAAUCAUCUUCUCUAGUCAGUAAGUGCUAUAAAGUCCAAAAGUGUAAUCAUGACAUGAUAAAUUCGCCAGCAGCCCAAGUGCUGCCAGGUUAAAGGUCGUACCCAGUGCACAAGGCUCCCGUUUUACGCAGGGUCUGGGAGAGGUGAAUGUCGGCUAGCCUUACCCCCAUUUAUGGAGAGGCUGCUCCCAAGUCUCGAACCCGAGACCUACCGCUCAUGGGCUUUAUUGUGUGAAUUUUCAUACUGGGUUUUAUUGUGUGAAUUCUCUAUGCAAACCCUGAAUUUUAGAAGUAAGGAAUUUUUGAGAAUUCAAGGAAUGCUUAUCUCCUAAAUUAUAAAUAUUCUUGGAGUCCUAUUUUAGGUAGGAUUAGGCUUUGUCUAUUAUGGACUACAAUCGCCGUCCUGGUUGCCUACUAGGGUUCAUGUCUAUAAAUAGUCAAGUCAAACAGGGAAAACGGUAAUUAAGUGGCAAAUUUGUCAUCUAUGUGAGUUGUAAUUGAGACCUCUUACGUACGAAUAAAGAGAAAUAUCAUAUAUUCCCUUGGUUAAAGUUAAGCAGGAAUUUGAAGUGGAUAACCCAAAUUAGAUCGUACCAUUUAUACAACAUUUUUAGCGUGUUAAUGAUGGGAGAGGAAGGGGAUAACAAACCUGAGCGAAAUAAACUCCCUCCGUUAUUAGCUUGGGGAUUUUCUUCAUUUUGAACAGUUACACAGAUAUGAUUGAUGCGAGGAGGAGGUUGUAUAUAUAGACCUAUCAAGACAAGAAAAUAUGUCAUAUAAAAGUGAAAGCAAAUAAUUAAGAGAAACAGAAGGGAGUAUGUGGUACACUAACAGUCAUAAACCCAUUGUUGCCAGAAAUUGAGCUCCGCACCGCUCAGGAAUGAAGGGUUUGCUGCCAAAGCAUGUAAAGGACUGAACGAUCCGCGGUCCAAAGUAACGGCUAAUUUUGGGCAACGUUGAAUUAAAUCCCAUGGGACAUCUGUUUAUUUUUAAUGUUACGAAAUUUCCAGAAAUAAUUAGUUUGCUAUAGUAAUUUGUAACUAUGGGAAAAAAGAGUAAACUGUAGCUAGAAUAAGCUAUUUAUUUUUCAAGUUGUGAAUUGAUAACUAUUUUGUAAUCACCUUUUUAAUUUGAAAACCAAAAACUUGUUUGAUAACUAUAUUUAGUUUUCAAGUUUCAAAAAAAUAAAAAUUGAAGGCUAUUUUUUUUUUUUUUUUUUAGUUUUCUAACUUAUAAUUUCAGUUUUUUUUUUUUUUUUGGAAAUUUGAAAGCAGUUUACCAAACAACUGAAAUGAUUAUCAAACGAACUCUUAAAUUUCAUUUUUGUAGUCCUCAACAGCAUGUUAUUACUCAUAUUUAAAAACUUUUACCAUAUUCUUUGGAUGCAAAACAACUGGAGAUUAUGGAAGCGCCAUGAGGUCCUUUGUCUGGCAUUAAAUCGUCAAGUGGAGUGACGGAGUAGAGAUAUCGAGCCAUAUGCCAUUGACCUUUCAAAUAAGCAUCCACAAUUGGAAGCUCGUUGAAAGCAUUGGGAAUGCUGAGUAAUUUUUGGUUCUUUGUUACCAUGCAUUGAGCCAUUUCGAUAAUCCCUUUAGUUGCAGCAAUAGCAAGAGCUGUGCGACCUGCUGAUUUUAUUUCCAAGUCGUCCUCAUCCAUCAACGACACCAAUUCUUUGACAAUAUCCACAUGCCCAGCUUCAACUGCAAUGUGAAGAGCUGUCUUCCCAUAAAAUGGAUGUCUUACUCCUACUGCCUCCGGGUGUUGGAUGUAAAAGUCCUUUGCAGUUUCCCAACGACCAGCUUGCACAGCCUCAAAGAAAGGUUUGUACUGACUAUAUUCAAGUCCUGUCAAAAUUUAUCUUGUUUUGUUAUUAUUAAUUACCCCAUACUUGUUUAGUUUUAUGCAUGAACAUUUCUGUAGUUAAAAACUUCAAUCAUAGAAACGAUGGAAGAUAAUGUUUUGGGUUCCUUGUUAUUUAACUUUUUAAUCAAGUUAUAUGAAAUUAUAUGACAACUAGAAAAAUUAUAUGGGAUCAUUGUGAUUAACACUCCAAAGUGUUAGGAAAAUAGAGCACUGAAAUUUAAUCACAAAGAAAACCAAGAAAUCAUUCAUGCCAUUAAUUAAAUACACAGUUUAAAUAUGUUCAAACAAGGUUUUUUAGCCAAAAUGAGCCUUGAGAUUUGCAAACUUUGAUCCCUGAGAUUUGAAAUCAAAGGAAGUGAGUCCCUGAAAUUGUGCAUCAUCAAUCAUUUUGGUUAUUUGGUGAAAAAUCAUGUUAAAUAAGGAUCAAAAUGACAAAAAUACCUUCAAUUUAAUAAACAAUAGGCCAAAAUGAUUUGACAAAAUUUGAGGAUAUUUUUAUCAUUUAUCCUUAUUUUAUGGAGAUUUUUCACGGAAUGAUCAAAAUGAUUGUUGUGGAUAAAUUCAAAGACAAAUUCAAUUGAUUUCAAAUCUCAAGGACCAAAAUGAGGAGUUAUGCAAAUCUCCAUGACCAUUUUGGCUAAAAAGCCUUCAAACAAUAAAAAAUAAUGCUAAAUGCACAUGAAUAUGGUUACAAAUAUAUGAAAUUUAUGGUAAAAUUAGACAUUAUAUGUCCUUGAGAUGAUUUGCAUUUUACAACAAUGCUCAUCAUUUUAAAUUUUCAUCAUUUUCAUUGAAGGCAACCGAUAUCGAUACAUCCAUCGAUAUUUCUAUAAAUUUAUAUAUUGAUCUUCCACAUAUAUCAAUAUUUUUAAACACUAGAUGAUACGCAAACGUGGUCUAAAAAUAUAGUAGGGUACUGCUAGAGAGACCAAAUUUGUACACUAAAUGAUUUGGAUGUUGAUAAUUGGAUUAUUAUUAAGUAUUGAUUAACGUACUUAUUUUCUAUUUGUGAAACAUGAUUUGGUUUGCAAAUUUAGUUAAAAAAAAUUAAUUUCCCUAACAUUAUGCAAUAUAAUAUUAUAGCAUUUUCUAAAGAAAAAAAUAUAGACGAUUAUUUAAUUAGAUAAUGAAAUAGGAAAUGAUUAUUAUUUUUUGUCUUUUGGCAAGGAGAGAUGCACCUUGUGGCCUUGUGCUUGUAUUGGGCACUGAUGGAUGUAAUGAUGGCUCCGACACACCUGGCCCUGUGCUUGUAUUGGGCACUGAUUGACAAAAUGAUAGCUCCGACACACUUUGUGGUAUAUUCCAAACACCUCGUGGACAUGUGCUUGUAUUGGGCACUGAUGGAUGUAAUGAUGGCUCCAACACACCUUGUGGCCCUGUGUUUGUAUUGGGCACCGAUGGAUGUAAUGAUGGCUCCCAAACACGUUGUGGCAUGUUCUGCCAAACACCUUGUGCCAUGUUCAACCUAUGAUUCAUUGGAGCAUAUCAUAUCAUAUCAUGUAUCAUACAUAUUAUCUAAACAGACAAAAAAUUAGCAAUGAAAUUAAAGUAGUCUAAUUACUACUUACGGAUUGAAAGGAAUGGAAGCCAACAAACUGCAGCUAGUUAGUUAUUAAACUCUUGUAAGCAAGCAAAUAAGCAAUGAAAUAAAGGCUUGCAUUGGCAAACUAAUAAGAAGAAAAUGGGGGAGAGUGGAAAGGGAAGCUACUUAAAAGUGAAGAGGUGUAUGGGCUGCUUUUCCUCGAAUAUUACGGAUCAACUGGACACGCAACCUCUACUUAAUAUUGGUAUCAUAUUCCUACGUACAUGCAAAGUUGGGCAAAGCCUUGUGAUUGACUGAAGAGGAUUUAAUAAGCAAGCCCACACAAAGGUCGGAGUAAUCAAAUGUAACCAAUACAAAAGAAUAAAAACAAAAGGGGGCAAAAGCACGCUUUAGAAAGUCAGGAAAGAACGAACAGGGAGGUGAUUUGAACCCAGAGACCUUACGAUUAUUCCUUUAGUAAUUUUGGGGUUACUGGCAAUCUAUUUGUCUGUUUGUUUAAAAAUAUUAUCUCAGUAACUAGUGAUCAAGGAACGUAUGGUUAUUUAUUUUUAGAUUUGAUAUUAAGAAUGAAGAAUAAAUAGGUAUGCUUUUAGUGUUUUAACCUCUACUCUUAGUAUCACAUUGGGAAGUGACCAAGGGGUUGAGACUCUAGUAUUUUUACUCAUGUCAUACAUUCUUAGUCGAAAGUUGACCCAUAGAGUUAAUUAGUCCUAUUUUUAUGUAACAAUGACUUAUUUAAACUAAGAUUAGUAAAGGAUUUAGUACUAAACUUGUCAUCCACAAGAGUCAAGUGAAGAGGAAUACCACUAAAUUGUAUCUCCAAUCUAAGAUUUAAAGGUUAAAAAUUAUGAAGUCGUAUUUGACUCUAAGUGUGGUGGUGCAAGUUAUUUUAUAAACAAUGCAUAUGAAUCAAAUUUGACUUGUAACUUUUAACUCUUGUAAAUUGGAAGGAGUCUAAUCAAAUUUAGAGAGAAAAUAUAAUUUUUGUAUCUUAUGUGGUGAGGAUCUAACAUUUAGAGCUAUAUCAAAUGUCAAAUAUGAUUUUGCACUUGAAUUAUAUAUGAAUAUAACCUUUCCAGUACAUUAGAGAUGUCUUAUAGUUUUAUUAAGUGAGCUGCAUUUCCCCCUAGAUUUGGCGGAUCUCAUCUCAACACUGAUUUGCUGCAUUACGCGAGCUUCUCUCUGAUUGAAGACUAUGAGUCAUACAUUAUUAGGUGUCAUUUCAACAUGUGUUUAAUUAGUGAACGAGUGAUUAGCUUAAGAGUUAAUCUUGUUGUACAAGGGUAUUCUUGUACUAUUCAUUAAGUUGAAAACAAAUCAGUUACUAAGAAAUACGAGCGAUUUAUUCUUCUCUAAGUUUUCAUUUCUUUCUUCUUUUUUUGUGAUGCUUCUUCUUCUCUGUUACUGUUAUGGUGGUAUUAAAGAGCCAGUCUUGCUUGUGCAUUUGAUUAUGAAGAUUUUGCAAUUGCACUCCAAGUAUCAUGUUCUUCAAGCUCCCAAACCUACUGUCACACACGUUAAUGAUAAAAACUAGUUUUUUUUCAUGAAUUGAACAUGAAAUUGAAGUUUGGAGGCACCACAUGAGGAAUGGCAUAUUAUAUAGCUAGUAAACCAUAAGACAAUUUUCAGUACGUUUUGAUUUAUUUAAAGAAAUAUAUUUAAAGUUUGAUCUACACCCAGCAUUGUAUUGGCUAGAACAUACUUGUCCAACUGAUGGUCCGACCAAAAUAAAACCCGGUCUAGCCUGUAUGUUUGGGUUGGCUAGGCCGAAAAUUUUCAGCCCAACAACCUCUAAUGUGGUGGACAUCAAAUGUUGCUUAAUUAUGUGGUGUAUGAUGCAUGGAGCCCUGGUAGUACAAAUCAUCCUCACCCUACAUUGUUAAUGUAAAUGCUUUUUUUUCGCAUUUCUUGGUUACAAACUUACAGUAAUGGGGUGGUCAAUCGUGGACUCACAUUUCUUGGUUGAGCUACAGUGGGCUGAUUUGGCACGGAAUCUGGUUGACCUGGUCUUGUCCUUAUUUAUCUGGAAGGAUAUACAUAAUCUGACUGUUUUCUGCUGAAAUUCAGAUUAAAUAAAUAAAAUUGUUUGCAGAAAAUAACAAAACCAUGCACAGGGAAUGUUGAAUAAAAUUUUAUAAUCUAUCAUAUUGUCUUUUGCUGGAGGCUGUUUGGUUUAUGUGUUUGGAAGGAGGCAAAUCCAUUUUUUAAUUUUGAACUUCUAAAGUUCCGAGAGCAUCUCUAGUAGAGUCUUUAAAUAGGGACAAACACUAAUAAAAUGAGUAUAAAACAAAUAUAGACAUAAAAUGAAUCUUUGUAGGGUGUACUCAAUUGAGAAUUUGAGAUACUUUAAUAGAUUUAUAAAGAGUAAUGCUAUUCAUACCAUGUUUUGUACCACAUUUUCAUACCAUCUUAUGUGACAUCUGAUGUAGACAGCCACAUCAUUUGAAUUAAUUAGAUUUUUAAAUUUAGUUCAUUAUUUAAUAAACUAAUAAUUAAGAAAAACUAGUUAAUUAAAUUAUGAUUGUGGUAUGAGGAGUCUUUCUCCUUCCUUUCCUUGUGUUUUGCAAAUUUUUCAAAUGAUGUGGCUGUCCACAUCAGAUGCCACCUAAGGUAGGAUAGAAAUGUGAUAUAAAAACAUGAUAUGAAUAUCAUUACUCAUUUAUAAAUCCAUAGAUUUUUAUGAGUUUAAUUGAUUUGUAGAAAUUACAUAUAAAAUUUUGAUUCAAUUCCCUCAAAAUCACAUGGGGAGAGGUGAGAUUUGUAGAUGCUUAAAAUACACUACGAAAUCUCUCAAAUUCCCUCUAAUUUCUCAAGUUUCUCAAAUUCUUUAAAAUCAAUUUCUAAUUGAAUAUACCUGGAAUGUUAUAAACUUCUUUAAAAUCCUAAUUGAAUACAUAUGGAUUUCUAAGAAUUUUAAUAAAUUAUCUUAAAAUUCUAAUUGAAUACACUUUGAAUUUCAGAGAAUCACUUAAAAUUCUGAUUGAAUACCCUAGAUUCAUCAAAAGAAUUAAAAUCCCUCAAAAUCUGAAUUGAAUACACUCCCCUUCAAUGGGUUGGAAAAAAAAUCCCUAAAAUAUAGGGACUCAUCAAAUACUUGAUGUAUAUAGCCCCAUGUAAGAAUUGAAAUGGGGGAUGGAAAAGUUGGUAAUGCAAGAAUAUCUACGUUUAGAUGCCGGUAAAAUGGCUGGGAAGUAAAUAUAUCCAUUGCAAACUGCGAGCAACAACUUGCACUUUGAAAAACAAUCUUUAUAUGUUACUGAUGUCUAUACGAAUUGUGGGUGUCAUAACAAUUUGGAAUUUAGCCAAUGGUAGUAUGUCAUUUUUCCCCCAACAUGUCAAUCCCCAGUCAGCCUUGCGAGAAUUUUUUAUUGUGACCAGAAUACGGAGAGUACAUCACAUGUUUUUAUAUAAGUGGUGAGAAAUUUUAUUUUUUAAGUUAUUAACUUUUUAACACACAUAUCCUACUAUUUAUAUAAUAACACGUGGUAUACCACCCUGUGUACCGGUCACAUUGAAAAAUUUCUCUACCCUUGCCAUCCAAUAGAUCCACCCCUUUUCCCCCACUCAUUGGUUUGGUGAUAAAAUAUUCUCUCCAUAUUUUUUUUCUUUUCCUUUGUUAUCUAUAUGCCAAAAUGGAUAUUUGUAAACAAAUAGUAAUAAAAAUUUCUAUCACUAUCAGUACUAGAAACGAAGUAAUACAUACAAAGUAACAUAUGAGAAUAAGGUGAGGCUAAGGGAGUAAAAUACCCAACACUUAGCCUCGAUGGGAACUCGGCAUGCCUGUUGAGGGAGGGGAAGUGAGGGAGGAAAGUGGAUUUGAUAUCUAAUUUCUAAUCGGAGACCGAGCAUAUGGUGGGAUGGAGAUAAUGUAUCACAGCUAAGGAGGGAGCGAGGGAAAUUAGAAGAAUGUAAAAGCAGGGAAAAAUGCCGGAUAAAGGGUAAAGCAUAUGAUAGUUGAGACUCGACUCAAGGAAAAAUGAAAUUAAUCUCAAGAAAGAGUGAGAUUAUCUAAAUUUGACCCCUUGGGUGGCGGCAACAUAGAUAAUGAGACUGAUUUGCCCUGAUAAUCAAUUAAACGAACUACAAAAGAUAAUGGAAGCACUGUGCGUCUAAUGGGAGAUUGCAUGUGAUUUUUUUUUUUUGGAAGGAAAGGAUAGUGGAUUUCAUUCAUAAAACUGUGAAACAGAGUAACAAGAGGAACUAUACAAUAGGGGAAGUAUCCGCAACUAGUAUAUAAGUGAUUUUAAAAGUAAGGAAUUUGUGAGAAUUCAAGCAAUGCUUAUCUCCUAUACUAAAUUCUUGUGGGGAAAGGAAAAAUUAUUGAUUUGAGUUUUAAUUGUAAAUAUUCUUGGAGUCAUAUUUCAGGUAGGAUUAGGAUUUGUCUAUUAUGGGCUCCAACCUCCAUCAUGGCUGCCUACUAGGGUUCAUGUCUAUAAAUAGUCAAGUCAAACAGGAAAAACGAUAAUCACCACUUACGUCUUAGAACCCUCUCAAGUUCAUAAUUUCUCUCAAACUAAUUUUUUGACUUAGGCAUCAGAGGCCCUUUGGUGUACACAUUCCCUCCUUUUUUAGGUGUUUGUCAAUUAGAUUAAUGCUGUUUCUUGUUUUGUAGGUGAAAUUUCGUCAAUUCAACUGUACGAAAUUUGAAUCCAUAGUGGUGGAGAUGAUGGUAACAUGGGUGAGGGUGUGGUUAACAAUAAUGGUGGUGGCAAUGGUGAUUAUGAGGUAGUAGGAUUGAUAAUGGUGGAGAUGGAGAAAUUUUUCAAGGAGCCGGGAACUCCACAUAAGAUUGAUAGCUGGUGUACCCGAGCAAUAAGAGAUGGACACAUGACUAUUAACAUUUUUUCUUUAAAUACAUAUGAACACGUAAUCCAAAACCAAGAAAACUUCCGACAAACGUUAAGCAUUCACCACCUCUUUCCUUUCCACCGUCGAUGGCAUCAUUGGACCCACCCCAAAUCCCGACGACAUCAUCGGAAUAAAAAGCCUCACCGGCUUCUUCCUCUUUGAAUCAGAGAAACUCUGUCAAGCUACCGCUGAUGAAGAAUACUCGUCCGUCCUCGGUUUCGUCCUUGCUCCGAUGGCCUUCCACUGCCCUUUUAUGGAGACACCAAUCAGUUGAGAAAUUAAAGGAAAAAAAAUUGCAUUUUCUUAAAAAGUCAUUGCAAUCUGCCGCCAUGUGUUCCUCUUAAAACCCAAAACAUUCAUACUAUGCAUAAAUGCAUGAAUGUUUGAAAUUGUAAAAAACCCAGCUCAAAAAAAAAAAAAAAAAAAAAAUCGAGCAAAAAGCUAAAGGGAAUUGAGAAGAUCUGUGCAGAGGCCAUGACGGCCGUUAUCUUCUCAGUUAUCGAGCCCACCGUUUUGGAAGUCACAGAAAUUGUUUUAAUUGAAAAAGAAAGCAGGCCACAUGCCUGCCUGUAGUUGGCUUGGUACUCCAGGUCAGGUUGGGUACCCGGUACCCUGAAAAAUUUCUCGUGGAGAUGAUGGAGGUGGUUGUGGUCGUGGUGGCCCAGUGAUGGGAUGGUGCUGGUGAUGAUAGGUGUAGGAUCUGGUGGCAAUGAUGCCUGGUAGUGGAAAAAUCUCUCCAAAUUCCGUAAGAUAGUGAGAGAUAUAUUAGUCAUAAUAAUUAGGGUAAAUCUCAUUUUAUUACUUUUAAGUUUCGUGGUUUUCAAUAUUUGGUACAUGAAGUUUUUUUCGUCCUAGAGUUGUGUUAAUUUUGGGAUAGUCUCGUACAUCCGUUUGUCUGGCUAUUAUUAAGUCUCUCGUUAACUGAUGAUGUGACACUCAUAUGGAUAAUGACUAAGCGUCACGUGUCAUUAAAUAGUUCACGUAAAAAUUAAAGAUUCAAAAAAAUAAUUAUAUAAAGAAAAGUAUAAAAUAAAAAAAAAAUAAAAAACCCAAAUCCCAUUUGUCUUCCCCAGAAUCCCAUCCAUGCCGACCCUCCCACUAGACCUGGCAUUUUUCACCCGACCCGUUAACCCGACCCGAUCCGACCCGACCUGUUAAAAUUAGUAUUCGGGUAGGUGAUAAACGGAUCGGGUGGUUAACGGGUCAACCCGUUAAAUAACGGGUCAUUUUGGGUGAACCGCGAAACCCGUUAACCACCCGUUAAGACCCAUUAUUGAGGACUUUUGUGUAAUUUCGUUUUCCUGGGAAUUAGGAUUUUCUCUCUGAAUCGGUGUUUGUUUCUCGGGAAAAUUGUGUGGUUUUGCAGGAGGUAAAAUGUCGACGGCCGAUUUGAUUCUGAGACCUGAGUGUGGUGGAUGUAAAACGACCAAGGAUUUAUACGGAAGCAAUUGCAAGCACUUGACUCUGUGCGACGACUGUGGCAAACAAAUGGCACUGUGCGGCGCCGUCGUCACUCGCUUAAUUCAAGUUCUCUCUCUCUCUCUCUCUCUCUCUCUCUCUCUCUCUCUCUCUCUCUAUAUAUAUAUAUAUAUGUAUAUAUAUGUAAACAUUAAUUGAUGUAUUUGUUCCGAAAUAGGAAUAUAAUGUAUAUAUAUAUGUAUAUAUAUAUACAUAUAUGUAUAUAUAUAUAUAUAUUUGAUAUGUAUUUAUAUGUAAACAUUAAUUGCCGUUUCGCGAGUAUCUUUUGGAGAUUGUGUUGCUAUAGCUAAUAACCACUAUAAACUUGUGAGUUGUUUUGUGCCCGAUUGUAUCAGCAUAUGCACACAAACCGAAUGAAGGAAGGAGGUGGCUAGCACAAGCACUAGAAUGCUAAGAACGGGUGUAAUUGAUUGGGAUGAAAUGUGUAUAAAAUAAAAAUAAAAAAAAUAAAAAAAAGGUUAACGGGUGAAACGGGUUGAAACGGAUGACCCGUUAGCUUAACGGGUUGGGUUCGGGUGACCCGUUAAGCUUAACGGGUUGGGUUCGGAUGACCCGUUAGCUUAACGGAUCGGGUUGAACCCGAUCCAAACCCAAUAAACCCGACCCGUUUACAGGUCUACCUCCCACCCCCCCCCCAACACUCUUCGAGUCGACAAGGAGGUGAAAGACAGAGAGAGAGGGGAGGGUUUCGGAAUUUCCAUUGAUGAUCGAUGUUGACAAGGAGGUGAAAGACAGAGAGAGAGGGGAGGGUUUCGGAAUUUCCAUUGAUGAUCGAUGUCGAAGAUGAAGCACCUACUGCGAAAGCUUCACAUUGGCGGCGGACUCAAUGAGCAUAUAGGGUUCUGAAUUUUCUCGCAUUUAACGACUUAGCGUGUGUGAAUUGGAAUGAAUUAGGUUUUCUGUGAACUUAGGAUCUCAAUUUCUAUGCUUCUAUGGUUUGUCAUUUUCUUUCGGGAUCAUUUUCUAGCUAGGGGGAGAUGGUACUAGUGAAUUGUGGAAUGCUUUGUAUUGCUUAUGGUGACAUUUUCGUAACAAUUUCAUGUUGAAUCAUUCUGUUAGUUAUGUAAGGUGGGUGCUUCUUGGUAGUUUCGUUACCUAAUAAUGUCGUAAGAUUGGUAAAUUCGGUACAAGGAUUUGGGUUCUCUUCGAGUGAGGGAGAGUGUUGAAAGAGAAUGAGAUAGUUGGGGAGAGAGAGUGGUGCGAGAGAAAGAGUGUUAGGGGGUGGGAGAAGGAGUUGGUGAUGGAGGGUGGGAGGGUGGCACAGGUGGGGAUUCUGGGGAAGACAAAGGGGAUUUGGGCUUUGUAUUUUUAACUUUUAUUUAAAUAAUUAUUUUUUUGAAUUUUUAAUUUUCACGUGGACCCUUAAUAAAUGUGAUGUAAGUCAUUGUUCACAUGGACGUCACGUCAUCAGUUAACGGGAGACUUAACAUCCAGACUAACAGAUGUAUGAGAUUAUCCUGAAAUUAACACCUUAGGUGACGAAAAAAACUUCAUGUAUCAAAUGUUGAAAACCACAAAACUUGAUGGUAGUAAACUGAGAUUUACCCUAAUGAUUAAGUGUCAAACUCGUCAUUUAUGUGAGUUAAAACUGAGACAUCUCAGAUACAAAUGAAGAUAAAUAUUAUGUACUUCUUCGGUAAAGUUAAGCAAGAAGUGGAUAACCCAAAUUAGAUCGUACCAUUUAUACAAAAUUUCUAACUUGUUAAUGAUCGGAGAGGAAGGGAAUAACAAACCUAAGCGAAUUAAACUCCUGUUAUUAGCUUGGGAAUUUUCUUCAUUUGAACAGUCACACAAAUAUGAUUGAUGCGAGGAGGAGGUUGUAUGUCUAUGCCUAUCAAGACAAGAAAAUAUGUCGUAUAAAAGUGAAAGCAAAUAAUUAAUAGAAAGAGAAGGAAGAAUGUGGUACACUAACUGUCAUAAAUCCAUUGUUGCCAAAAAUUGAGUUUCGCUCCGCUCGGGAAUGAAGAAGCCUGCCCAGCCAAAGCUUCUAAAGGGGAAAACUUUAAGCGGUCCAAAGUAAAGGCCAAUUUUGGUCAACGCUGAAUUAAAUCUCAUGAGAUAUCUGUUUAUUUUUUAAGUUACAAAUUUUUAGAAAAAAAUAGUUUGUUGUAGUAAUUUGUAGUUAUGGGAAAAAAGAGUAAAUUGUAGCUAGUGUUUAAAAUAUUAGUAUUGGUGGAAAUAUCGAUAGACAAAUUUGUGGAAAUAUCGAUGGAUAUAACAUAUAUCAAAUACCGAUGUUGAUUGCAUUCGAUGAAAAUGAUGGAAAUUUGCUCAAAAACAUGAAAAUUUAAAAUUAUUUUUAGGAAAUGUCAUAUGAAGCCACAACACACGUAUAAAUCAAGAAUAACGAUUAGAUACUGUGUAAACAAUAAGUAUGUGAUAUAUGUGAAGAAAAACUUCCUUAUAAUGACAAGUAAUAAAAUAAAGUAUUUCACUAGAAAGAAUAAAUUAUACAUAACUUAAUUGAAAUUAUCGUCAUGAAAUGAGCACAAGUUUUAUUGAAGUAAACUAAUACCAUAAAGAAAGAAGUUUAAAAAAAAUAAAUAAUGCAUAGGAUCAUGGAUAUUUCCUGCAAACACUGAAUAUUUCCUGAAAAUAUCGUGAAAAUUAACUGAUUUCUAAAAAUAUCGUGGAUAUGGGGUGAAGUUUUCCAUAUCGUUCCCUGAAUUUUUGGAUAUUCUCGUGGAAAUAUCGAGUAUAUCCAGGAUAUUUCAAACAUUGACUGUAGCUAGAAUAAGCUAUUUAUUUUUCAAGUUACAAAUUGAUAACCAUUUUAUUUUCAGUUUUUGUAAUCACGUUUUUUGUCACAUCCCGGCUCGGGUUCCACCAUAUCCCGGCCCCUUCCACCACCGUAGCACGAUAUUGUCCGCUUUGGGCUUACCAUUCCCUCACGAUUUUGUUUUUGGGAACUCACAAGCAACUUCCCAGUGGGUCACCCAUCCUGGGAGUGCUCUGGCCUCCUUCUCGCCUAACUUCGGAGUUUCUACGAAACCCGCAGCCAGUGAGCUCCCAAAAAGCAUCGUGCUAUGUAGGGAUGGGAAUAUACAUUUAAGAAUCACUCCCUUGGGCGAUGUGGGAUGUCACAUUUUUAAUUUGAAAGCUAAAAACUCGUUUGAUGACUACUUUUAGUUUUCAAGUUUCAAAAAAAAAUAAAAGGUCUAAUUGGAUUAUUAGUUCCCGUGGUAAUAUGAUAGUCGGAAGAUAGCCCAUGUGGUUAAAAAAUUAGGAUUUAAGCCUCUAUGGUGAAGUCUAUUAGGAUUUAAGCUCAAAAUUGAAAAUUCCGUCAACUCUCCAUUAAUUAUUAGUAUGUGAGCCACACAUAUGAGAGCAAAACAAAACUCUCUGUUAAUUGUUUGCACGUGAAGCUUACAUAUGAGGCUAACUUUAUCUUUUUAGCCUCACAUUGGGCUUCAUGUGCUAACAAUUAACGUAGAGCUUAAAAUUUUCAAUUUUGGGCCUAAAUCUCAAUAAACUUCACCACAGGACUUGCAUCCUAAUUUUUUUACCAUAUGAGCAAUUUUCCAACUACCCUAUAACCACGGAAACUGUUAAUCCAAUUAAGCUAUAAUAAAAAGUGAAAGCUACUUUUUUUAGUUUUAACACUUUGAAUUUCAGUUUUUUUCUUUUUCUUUUUAAUUUGAAAGUAAUUUACCAAACAACUAAAAUGAUUAUUAAAUGAACUCUUAAUUUUUAUUUUUGUAGUCCUCAACUACGUGUCAUUACUCAUAUUUAAAACUCUUACCAAAUUCUUUGGAUGAAAAAGAUUCGGUGAUUAUUGUAGCGCCGUUAGGUCCUUUGUCUGGCAUUAAAUCUUCAAUUGGAGUGACGGAGUAGAGAUAUCGAGCCAUAUGCCAACGACAAUUUAAAUAAGCUUUCACAACUGGGAGCGAGUUGUUUGAAUCGGGAAUGCUGAGUAAUUUUUUGUUCUUUGGUACCAUGCAUUCAGCCAUUUCGGUAAUCCCUUUACUUGCAGCAAUAGCAAGAGCUGUCCGAUCACCUAAUGUUUCUUGUAAUUCCAAGUCUUCCUCUUCCAUCAACGACACCAAUUCUUUGACAAGAUCCACAUGCCCAGCAUCAACUGCAAUGUGAAGAGCUGUCUUACCAGAAUAUGGAAUUCUUGCUCUUACUGCCUCCGGAUGUUGGUUGUGAAAAUCCUUUGCAGUUUCCCAAUCACCAGCUUGCACAGCCUCAAAGAAAGGUUUAUACUGACUAUAUUCGAAUCCUGUCAAAUUUAUCUUGUUUUGUUAUUGUUAAUUUCCUCGUAGGGUAAAUCGCCAAAAUGGUCUCUGAGAUUUGCAUAACUCAUCACUUUGGCCCCUGAGAUUCCAAAACGAUAAAAGUGGUCUCUGAGAUUUUCCACCAUCCAUCAUUUUGGUCAUUCCGUUAAAAACUCCGUUAAGUGUCCUGGAUGAAGUUUUGGCAAUUUUCAAAGCUUCGUAACUCAAUCGUUUCUUAACCAAAUUAGACCCAUAUAUAACAAAAUGAAGAUAGGAAAGUAUAGAAUAAGAUUAUACAUAUUUCAAAGCCCAAUGAUUGCCGGAGAUAGCCGGAAAAUAGCCUCAAAGUUGACUGGUCCGAGUGAAAACUUGAAAACUCGCCGGAAACUGGAUAAAAUUUAAACGUUCAUAACUUCUUCAAUACUCAACGAAAUCAAGUGAUUCAAAAAUGAAAAUCAUACUUCUCAACGAGACGAAGAGAAUGAUACCUUUUUUUUUUUUUUUUUAUGGCUAACUCGCCAUGGUUUGGCCGGAAAAUGGCUCGAAAGUAGACCAAGACAGCUACUUUCGAGCCGUUUUCGGCCAAACUACAGAGAUUUAGCCAUAAAAAAAGGUUCCAUUCUCUUUGUCUCAUCGAGAAGUAUGAUUUUUGUUUUUAAAUCACUUGAUUUCGUUGAGUAUUGAAGAAGUUAUGAACAUUUAAAGUUUACCCAGUUUCCGACGAGUUUUCAAGUUUUCACUCGAACCAGUCAACUUUGAGGCUAUUUUCCGGCCAUCUCCAGCAAUCAUUGGGCUUUUAAAUAUAUAUAAUCUUAUUCUACACUUUCCUAUCUUCAUUUUGAUAUAUUAUGAGUCUAAUUUGGUUAAGAAACGAUUGAGUUACGAAGCUUUGAAAAUUGCCCAAACUUCCUCUAGAACACUUAACGGAGUUUUUAACGGAACCAAAAUGAUGGAUAGUGGAAAAUCUCACUUUUAUCGUUUUGGAAUCUCAGGGACCAAAGUAAUGAGUUAUGAAAAUCUCAGGGACCAUUGUGGCGAUUUACCGUUUCUCCAUACUUCAGUUUUAUGCAUGAACAUUUCUGUAGUUAAACUUCAAUAUUAGAAACGAUGGAAGAUAAUGUUAUGGGUUCCUUGUUAUUUAACUUUUUAAUCAAGUUAUAUGGAAUUAUAUGAUAAUUAUAUAUAAUUAUAUGGGAUCAUUGUAAUUUUUUUUUAGAACAAACGAUAUUAUCUUCAUUAAAGGGAUAGGUGGGCUUAGCCUUACAAUAAGUUAGCAAUAAUGUGAUUCAAAUUCGUCUUUAGUGAUAAUCGAAUCUAAGACCUCUCAUUAGAAAUGAAGAGGAUCAUUGUAAUUAACACUCCAAAGUAUUGAAAUAGAGCACUAUGUUUGUUUAAUCACAAAGAAAACCAAGAAAUUGUUCAUGCCAUUAAUUACAGCACUGAUAUGUAAAUGCACAUGAAUGUGAAUAUGGUUACAACUAUAUGAAUAUGGUUACAACUAUAUGAAAUUUAUGGUAAAAUUAGACAUUAUAUGUCCUUGAGAUCAUUUACAUUUUACUACAAUGCUCAUGGUAUGGUAUCUCCAUGAAUAUGAAUAUGGUUACAAAUAUAUGAAAUUUGUGGUAAAAUUAGACAUUAUAUAGUAAUAAUGUUAUGACCAAACCAAUUUUAUAAGUAUAGGAAGAUUAUUACUCAAUAAAGGUGUAUUUAAAAAAUAAAAAAGACUUAGUUAUCCUUAAUGAAAGGUAAUAUUUAAUAUAAUUACCUAAUUAAAUGUGUUGGAUUGGAUUUUUCUGUUGAUGUUGUUCUCGUUUGAAUUAAGUUAUGUAUUAUGUGAAGAUUAUAUGAAUUGUAGAUUACUGGGAUAAGAUUCAGUAAAAAAAAUUAGUGGGAUUAUGACUCCUUGAGUCUCUUAUCUGUGUAAAAGAUGAACAUGUUAUAUAGUAUUUAAUCAUUUAAUUUUUAUUAAUACAUGUAUUGUGGUUUGAUAUGACAUACCUUAAAGUGUAAUUUCAAAUUUCCACGUUUUUUUGGCAAAUUUUCAUCAUUUUCGUUGAAGGCAACUGAUAUUGAUAUUAAUAUAUCUAUUGAUAUCUCUAUAAAUUUGAGUAUCGAUAUUUCUACCGAUAUCAAUAUUUAAACACUGAAUGAUACACAAAUGUAGUAUAAAAAUAAGUACCGUGGUCUCCGGAACACACCUGUGCUUGUAUUGGACACUGAUGGAUGUAACACGCGUGACAUGGCCGCCCAAACACCUUGUGCCAUGGUCUCCCAAACACCCUUUGCCAUGUUCAACCUGUGAUCCCGUUGGAGCAUAUCAUAUUCUAAAUAAACAAAAAAUUAGCAAUGGAAUUAAAGUAGUCUAAUUACUACUUACGUAUUGAAAUGGAUCGAAGCCAACAAACUGCAGCUAGCCAGUUAUUAAAAACUAGUAAGUAUGCAAAUAAGCAACGAAAUGCUUCCCGCGGGGGGGGGGGAGGAAGGUGUGGUUUGUGGGGUGGGAAUUAUGGCGGAGGCAGGUGAUGGAGUCGAUUAUUGGGAGUGAUGUUAUGGAGGUUGGCAUUAGAUUGGUGGUGGAAUCGGAUUCGAAGGGAUUGAUUCAGAUGCUUAACAAGGAGGUCACGGCUGAUGUGACUUUAGAAAUUUAUCUCCAAGACAUUUGGAGGAUGGUGAGCUUAUUCCAGUUGGUAAGGUUCUCUUUACCCCUCAGCAAUGCAAUCGUGCAGCCCAUUUGGUGGAGAUGUACAUCGUUAAGCAUGGCGGGAGAUUUGGUUGGGAUAAGUUAGGUCCAGAGUUUCUUUUUAAUAUUUUAGCAAAAGAUGCAAAUGUACCUGUUCAUAUUUAAUUCAAUAAAAUUCUCUCUUUCGACAACAAAAAAUAAAUAAAUAAAUCCUUGCAUUGGCAAACUAAUAAAGAUGAACUGGACACGCAAACCUCCACUUAAUCUUGGUAUCAUAUUCCUACCUAAAAGGUCGAAGGAGUAAUCGAAUGUAACCAAUACAAAAGAAUAAAAUAAAAAGGAGCAAUAUUCACGCUUAGAAUUUAGAAAGUCAGGAAAGAAAGAAAAGGAGGUGACUUGAGUCCAGAGACUUCACGAUUAUGCAUUUAGUUAGACCCAGAAGUUUCUGACACGACACGAAAACGAUACAAAAAUAACGGGUUUCAUGUCAAUACGAUAACUAAUCGGAUCAUUAUCAGAUGACCAGUUAAUAACGGAUUUUUAAUAGGUAUACACAUGGGUAACCCAUUUCGACCCGUUAAGAAAAAAAAUAUUUUGAUAAUUUUAAAGUUUAAUUACUAAAAGAUUUAUUAUAAAAUACAAUAGCCAUAUUAAUAUACAAUAUAUUCUAUAUUAAAUAUAUAGUUUUGUAUUAUUAUUCUAUAUAGUUAAAAAAAAUGUUUUAGUCAUUAUUUAUUUUUAUUAUGAGAGUUCUUUAUUAUCAUUACUAGGAUAAAUUUUACUUAACAUGUUGUUGUCCAAAAUUAAAAUAAACUAGUAUAGUAUUUGUAUAGGUAAGAACUAAGAAGACAUACAUACAAGUAUGAAAAAUGUGAAAGAAUAUAUAAACACUCGUGAUUCAUGAUUAUUCCUCAACAAGUAGAUAAUGAUUACACUCACAUUAUCGUUUAGAUUUUUAAAAUCCUCCAAACCCUCAUGAAUAAUGUUUUUUAUUUGAGGGAAAAAUUAAUAAAAUUAAUAAUAAUUAUUGUAGAAGUGUAAAAAAUGUAAAAAAAAAAAUACAAUCACUCAUAGUGACAAGCUUUACAACUUUCAUGAAGGGGUCAGUUUCGAAAUACAACAAUAUAAUCCAUAAACUUUAAAUUUAUAUUUAACCGGCAAUUGUCAUUUACGCUUUAUUCUUCUUUCUGAAUUUUAUUUUUAAAAUUUUAUUUUUUUGAAAACAUGAUCAUCUGGCGGAUGUAAGAAGAUGAAAGGUUCAGAUCUUUGAUAUCACGUUUCGAUAUUUACAGUUAACUAAAAUAUGAGUCGAUGUCAUAUAGUUUAUAGAAACUUUAUAAACAUCAAGCAAUAUUUUCACUAACCGUAAAACUCUGAAUAUAAUAUCAACGAUCCAAACCAUUCAUCUUCAUGUAUCCUCUAAUAGAUCAUGUUUUCUAAAAAGAAAAUAUGAAAAAGCAAAUGUUGAUGAGAACAAUGAAGCGUAAAUCUGAAUAUUUUCACUAAUCGUAAAACUCUGAAUAUAAUAUCAACGAUCCAAACCGUUCAUCUUCCUGCAUCCUCUAAUAGAUCAUGUUUUCUAAAAAGAAAAUCUGAAAAAGCAAAUGUUGAUGAGAACAAUGAAGCGUAAAUGUAAACAACAAUCAACGGUUAAAUUUUGAUCUAUGAUUUAUAUGAUUAUAGUGGUAAAUUUCAAAGUUAAGCUUUUCAUGAAAGUUGUAAAGCUUGUCAUUACGAGCGUUUAUAUAUAUUUUUUUCUAUAUUUUUUACACUUCUACAUUAAUUAAAAAACUAUUAAAGACUUUACUUAAAUAACAAUCAUAAGAUAAAUGAGAGUAAAUCUGUACCGUUAGAUUCUAUUUCACUUAUAUUAUUAGAACUUUUUUGGAUGAAAAAAUCCCUUCUUUAUUCCAAUAUUUUCCAAUUUUACCAUUUGAUCAAUUUAGGUAAGCGAAAAUAUACUUAAAAGAAAAAUGCAUUUUUAUGCUUUGGAUGUGAUAAUAUGGUAUGUAUAUACUUAUUUAGUAUUAUGUUUUUCAUUUGAUUAUUUAUUGGUUUAAAAUAUAUAUAUUUUUAAUGGGUAACGGAUCGGGUCAUAUUACCCGUUAAUAUUAUCAGGUCGAUUUUGGGUGUCAUUUUACCCGUUUAUUUUAAUGGGUGUUACACGAUACGACCUGUUAAGAUAUCGGGUAUGACACGAACACAUAAAACACAACACGAAUGUCAGGUCUUCAUUUAGUAUUCUUGGGGUUAUUGGCAAUCUGUUUGUUAGUGAUCAAUGUAUGGUUAUUUUAUUUUUAGAUUUGAUAUUAAAAAUAGAGAAUAAAUGGAUAUGCGUUUAGUGUUUUAGCAUCUAUUCUCAUUUUCAAAUCUAAAGGGGAGUGACCAAGAGUCAAGUGAAUUGAACACGAAAUCGAAGUUUGGAGGUACCACAUGAGGAAUGGCAUAUUACACAGCUAGUCAAACCAUAAGACAAUUUUCAGUGGGUUUUGAUUUAUUUAAAGAAAUAUAUUUAAAGUUGGAUCUACACUCAACGUUGUAUUGGCUAGAGUAUAUUUAUCAAAUGGUCUAAUCGGAUAAAUGGUCCCCGUGGUCAUAAGGUAUUCGAAUGAUAGCCCAUGUGGUAAAAAAAUUCAGAUUUAAACCCCUGUGGUCUAAGUCUGUUAGAAUUUAUGCCAUUCUGUUAAAUAAUGCUGACGUGGCUGCCACACAUAUGCCACGUGGAUGCCAAAUGUCUGCCACGUGACAAAAUAAUAAUUUUUAAUUUUUUUUUUUAAAAACCUGAAUUAAAAAAAAAAAAAAAAACACACAGAACCUCCCCCCGCCCUCCGCCCGUCCCCCCCCGCGCCGUUCUUCUCCUUCUUCUUCCCGCCGGUCUCCCCGCGCGACUCCUUCUUCUUCUUCUUCUUCUUCUUCUUCUUCUUCUUCUUCUUCUUCUUCUUCUUCUUCUUCUUCUUCUUCUUCUUCUUCUUCUUCUUCUUCUUCUUCUUCUUCUUCUUCUUCUUCUUCUUCUUCUUCCCGCCGGAGCCCUCUCCCCGCGCCCUCCUCCCUCUCCCUCUUCCUUCUUCUUCUUCUUGCAGAUCUGCGUUUUUUUUUUGUAAAAAUUCAGGUUUUUUAAAAAAAAAUUAAAAAUUAUUAUUUUUGCCACGUGGCAGACAUUUAGCAGCCACGUGGCAUACAUGUGUCAGCCACGUCAGCAUUAUUUAACAGAAGGGCAUAAAUCCUAACAGACUUAGACCACAGGGGUUUAAAUCCGAAUUUUUUUACCACAGGGGCUAUCAUCUGAAUACCUUAUGACCACGGGGACCAUUUAUCCAAUUAGGCCUUUAUCAAAUUGACGGUACGACCAAAAUAAAACCCGACUUCCCGCCGGAGCCCUCUCCCCGCGCCCUUCUCCCUCUCCCUCUUCCUUCUUCUUCUUCUUGCAGAUCUGCGUUUUUUUUUUUUUUGUAAAAAUUCAGGUUUUUUUAAAAAAAAUUAAAAAUUAUUAUUUUUGCCACGUGGCAGACAUUUGGCAGCCACGUGGCAUACAUGUGUCAGCCACGUCAGUAUUAUUUAACAGAAGGGCAUAAAUCCUAACAGACUUAGACCACAGGGGUUUAAAUCCGAAUUUUUUUACCACAGGGGCUAUCAUCCGAAUACCUUAUGAUCACGGGGACCAUUUAUCCAAUUAGGCCUUUAUCAAAUUGACGGUACGACCAAAAUAAAACUCGACUCGGCCUGUAGGUUUGGGUUGGCUAGGCCAAAAAAUUUCAGCCCAACAACCUUUAAUGUAGUGGUUGUCAAAUGUUGCUUAAUUAUGUAGAGAAAGUAAUUUGAAGAGUGUGAAUAUAACAUCUUUAAGAAAAAAAUAUUGUUUCACACGUGUUAGUGUUCGUUAUUGAGUGAUCGCUCCCUAUUUGGCUAGAAGAUGCGGUCUCGAGGCUUCCUCUCACCAAGCUAACAAGACGAGAUCGACACUUUUCUCAAUUACUAAUAACGUAUUUUCAUGCGUAUAACUUUAUCACAUCCCAAUGAAUUAUUGAUAUGAAAUAUUUUGCCACGGCAAAGACACCAAAUGUAAGUCAAUCUAAAAAAAUAUAGCAUAUUAUAUAAUUAAAAGUAAUCCUAUUUAGUUAACAUUGAUCAAAUAUUUACACCAUAUCAAACACGGUAUAUCUUCAAUAUCCAUCAAUGUAAAUUAAUAGGAUUUGGAUCCUCUCAUGAGCCAAUGGAGAGGAUCCUUCUGACCAAGCAUUGUGGGCCGUUGGAUGAAAAUUCAACAGAUAUAAACAGGGGGUCCCUUUAAAGUUAUAAUAAACAAGGGGUUCCUUUAAAGUUAUAAUAAUUAUAGCUGUUAGAUGAAAAUCUAACGGUCCACAAUGCUUGAUCAGGAGGAUCAUUUCCAUUGACUCAGGUAAGGAUCCAAAUCCAAAUUAAUAUACGCUACCAACCAAUCACAACUCCUAGCAAAUAUUGUCAACAGGAUAAAGUACAUACCAAUAAUUGCCAUCGUCGUUUGUGAGUUUGUCAGGCAAGAUUCGAAAGGUUGCUAAGUUCAUAAUUUAGAGUAAAUUAUAAUAAUAAUCCAUCAACUUUAAUUCAAUUAGAAAAAUGGUCCAUCAACUUUAACUCAAUUGAAAAAAUGGUCUCUUAAUUAAAAAUUUAUUACAAUUGGUCCCUCAACUCAUCAAAAUGUGUAACUAUAGUCUAUCAACUAAAAAUUUAUUUCCAAUGAUCCCUCAACUUUAAUCCAACUGGAGAAAUGAUCCUUCAACUUUAAUCCAAUUGGAGAAAUGAUCCAUCAACUAAAAAUCCAUUUCCAAUGGUCCCUCAACUUUAAUCCAACUGGAGAAAUGAUCCAUCAACUUUAACCCAAUUGGAGAAAUGAUUAUUCAAUUUUAAGCUAAUUGUAGCAACGGUCAUUCCAACAUAACUCAUUUUAACAAAAUUCUGACAAAGUUAAUAAAAAUGACCAUAGCUAUACAUUUUGAUAAGUUGAAGGACCAAUGGUAAUAGAUUUUUAGUUGAGGGACCAUUGCUCCAAUUUAAUUAAAGUUGAAGAACCAUUACUACAAUUUACUUUAUAAUUUAACAUCUCAAUUUUAUAACCAUCUAAGAAAAAAAUGGACGGUCGAAAACAAAAGUGGUGACAUGUGACACAAAAUCUUAGGCCAAAACCCAAAUACCACGUGUCACUCUUCCAUUGAUGCAUCCACCGUUACGUGACGUUUAAUGACGUCCACUUGUUUAAAUACUGGCGAUUUCUGCAGAUUUUUUGGUGCUCCUUUCCUUCCGUCAAAUUAUAUUAUACAUAUACUAAAACCCAAACUCGGGUGGCACUGUUUUUCACUGUUCGUGAACAGUGUUUGGUCGGAAAUGCCCUCGGUUUCUUCUUUGUUCUGCUUACUGUUUCCACUUUCUACAGUGGAAAGUCGGUUGUGCCCUUCUGCGUCUUUCAUCGUUUCUUUCUCUGCUUUAACCGCAACGUUUUUACUUUACCUUUUCUCUUCGUUUUUUCAUCUCCGUUGCUCUGCAAUUUUCUCCUUCAUCGCUCCCUCUUUUGCUGCCAAAUCUUUUGCUCUUUCUUCGCAAAAUAGUCUCAAAAGAGAUCCUGACUUUAAUUUUAUUGGGGAUUUGGUUUCCGGUCUUCUCUGGUGUUGGACCCUUUGUUUGAUUUUAUUGGCUGUUUUGUUUCCGGUCUUCUCCGUUGUCGAACCCUUUGUUGGUCAGCGUUUUGUUCUCAUCUUGCCAUCGUUGGGAUCAAAAUUUGAAGGUCAGUUUGUUUUCAACGUUUUAUCUUUAUUUUUUGAUCUCUAGGGUAAGAAAUUUAAGCUCUUUGUUUAUUUUUUUAUUUUUUUUUUACGGAUCUGGAGGUUGGGACAAAUUUUUUGUCAAAUUGAAGGCUGAUCAUGUGCUACCUCUUCAGAUUAUUGAUAAAGAAAUUAUAUUGAGCUUAGCUAUGUUUAAAACAACUAUGUGCAAUUUUUUAUUCUUAGUUUGUGUUUAUUUGAAAGGAGCCUUGCCAAAUUGGUUUUAUCUGUUGUGUUUACGAUGGUUCUAAUAAAUUGGUUUUCCAUGUGAGUAAUUUUUUGGUCCAGAAUUGUAUAUGUUUGGAAGAAAGUCUGAUAUAAGUUGAGUUGGUAAUGUUUUUUCGCUUUGCUUCUGAUUGGUGUGUGUGGUUGCUUCAGAUCUUGAUCGUUUUUUAAGAACGGAGACUCGAUUUGUUCUUAUUGGUGUGUGUGGUUACUUCAGAUUUUAAUCGUUUUUUAAGAAGAGAAACUCAGUGUGCUUUCCACUUAUUUUAUGGAGUUGUCUUCGUUAUUGGUUUGAGUCAGUAAUGAGCGAGGAAAAAGCUUUGAAAAGGAAAGUAUUCAAAAUUAGUUAAGGGUUUUACAAAAAUUUAAAAGCUUAAAUACUUAAAUACAGCUUUCUUUAGAUUAGUAUGCAGAAAUCAAAAGGCUUUGAAAGGCACAUUGUUUAAAAUCAUUUGAAGCUUUUACAAAGGUUUGAGAGCUUCAGUGAUUAAUUAGUGCUUAGUUAUGAAUUCAACCAUAUGUUUAGUUAAAUUAAACAAUGAUGUAAUGUUGAAUUAAGGUGUGUGAUUCAAUUACCAUUGUGAAGAUUAGCACUUUUUAUAUUGGGGAUUAAGAACAUUGAUGGUGGCAAUUUUUCUGAAUGGUGAGGUAUUUCGUUUGCUUUCGUUGUCAAAUAGUGUUCUCACAUGGGUGGAGAACAAUACAUAUAUUUUAUAUGGUAGAUCAAUAACAAACACUCUGUUUGGUUCUAAUUUUUGGAUAAUUUGGUAUUAUUCCAGAGAUAAUGCAGACAAGAAACUGUUAACUCUUAUUUAUUAAAUAGAUGUAUCGAAUAUGUUUUGCAUGGCAAAGAUCAUAUCUGUUUGGUUAAUGAUACAACUAUUCCAGCUUUUCUUAAUUGAGUGGAGUGUAUUGCAGGUCAUUAGGCUCCUUUUGCUUCCAAAGUUUUUGAACCUGACCGAAGUCAGUUUGCUGAAUCGCUUUUGCGUGUUAGUGAUGUAUGAUUUUCUUUUUUGCACAAUCAUGAUGAAAAACUGAAUUUGACUUAUUUGAUUUUGGGUUUUUGUUGUUCCUGUUGCUAAUUUUGUGUUUUUUUUUCCAGUUUUUUUUGGCAGUGAAAUCAUCGCUGCCACCUAACAAAUCUAGUUGCUGUAAUAUCAAUUGUUAUUGUUGGAGGGAGGUAAAGUUACUAUCUUGCUUUAUAAAGUGUAGGAUUUUUUAUUUUUUUUUUGUAUUUUUUUUUCUUUGUUUCUUUCUUUGGCUUCUCUAAAAUUCUGUUGGUAUAAUAGUUCAUUUUUUUUUCUGUGGCUUUGUACAAUAGUGUGUCGUGUUGAAACACACUGUUCAUUAUUGGUUAUAGUUAUUUGUUCUGUUUUCACACUUUUUUCAUACAAAAUGUUUAAUUGCUGACUCAUUCCUCUUUAAUGCCAUGUUAAAUUGUUUUGAAACUAAUAACGAGAUAAACAAACUCAGACAAUAUUAAGACUGCUCAGUGUCUGCUGUUCAUUGAAUAAGUGUUGAUAAUAUUGAUCCAGCGUAAAUUUUAUUCUUACACCAGUCUUAAUACUCAUUGAGAAAACCGUUUGGUGAUAAUCUAAGUAUUAAACAAGCAGAUACAGUUUUGGCAUCAAUUUCAAUUAUUGUAUUUAUUUUCUAUUUGGCCAAUUCAUGAUUUCUUUGGUUGAUAAAAGGAUGAAAGCAAAGAAGAUGCACAUUUUUAUCAGUUGUUAUAUUAAUUUAUUAUUUUUUUUAUUAAAUUUGUAAUUCCAUUGUCCAGAGUGACUUCAAAACAAGGUUUAAAUUUUUUAAUAACAAACGGAGAAAAUAAUGUUGACAAUUAUACUUUGAAUAUAGUGUUUAAAGAUUUCUUACAAAUUUAUAAUUACGUGCUUCGCUUUAUGACCUCAUAGGUAAAAAAAUUUAUAUUUAUUUAAAUAUAAUUGAAUAACAUGUACAAUGCUAUUUAUCUAUAAUUUUCUGAUUACUGCUAAACAUAAUCAAUGUCUUCUUUUUGUAUAUGCAGAAUGAAAAACAGAUUCUUUGCAAGCAUCACACAAAGGCCAUCAUUUAUUCUGUAUGAAGACCACAGGUUAAUUCAGUCUUAAUUGAUUUUUUAUUUAUUUAAUACAAAACGUAUUAAAUAAUAUAUCCAUUUCUAUAUUCAUUUUGUCACGAUGCUGUUCUAGCAUCUAUUUCUGCUUUUCAAGUUUUCCAUUGUGAAAUUACAAUAUUGGUAUUUGAUUUUCGUAUUUGAUAAACUGUUCACGUCCCAUUGGUUCUGUUAUAGAAACUUGCACAUUUUCACAGGUUCUGUAUAACAAACAUAUCUAUAUGUAUUUAUUUCUUUGAUUGAAUUGUUUUAUUUUCAGAUUUGUAGCCAAUGAUCUUUUACCGAUUGUCUAAGAGCUUCCAUAGGACUUGCUCUGUGCUAUUCCUUUGCGGUAACCUCCAUUAGGGAUGAAAAAGCUACAAACGACAUUGUAAGUCUCAAAAGGUUUAAGAAAUUUUAAAUCUUUUCAUCACAUGGUUUUCAAAAUUUUCAUUAUGUUUGAAUUUGUAUCUGAUUUCAUAUUCUAGCGAGUUCAUCGUUGAUUUGUCAUCUUUGUCAUAUGAAAUGAUAGAGAACAGUUUUCUAGAUGCAAUGUUCAUUUAUUCUUAAUCAUAAAUUUAAUUUAAUUUUGUAGGUUCACCUUUUUCCAAAAGAAAAUUAAUCUGAAAAUCCAACUGAGGUGUAAAUCCCUGCGUUUACUUAACGUUUAUAAUUCAUCCUUCCCCACCCUGUAUCCCAAAUUACAAUUGAAGACUUCAACGGUAUGUACCAACAAUUCAAGCUUUAUUCCCUUUUUUUACUUAAUAUUUUAAUUUUACAUUCAAUCUUUACUAACAUUUUUUCUCAGGAGAAUUGGUUGUUACCAAUAUACAUAAUGACUAUCUUCUUUUGACUUACUCUAGAAUACAUGACUAAUCCCUUCCCUGAUCACUGAGAAGUUUACUUCAAUAUCUAAAAGUAUUAGCCAAGACGUUCCCAUUACAAAUAUACCAUGUCCACAUGGCUUAAUUCAACAAAAAAACAUUUGGUAAUAGAUAAAUUGUUAAAUAUAUUUAUAUAUCAUUUUUAUUGGUUAUUGGCUCCAUUUAACAAUUCCUCUAUUUCUAAAAUCUUCUUUCAUUUAGUUAAAGCAUGUGAAACAAUUACAUCUUUGGUUAGACCAUCUUUGUUUAUACUUUUAGACAUCCAUCUUAAACCCCUCAGUGAUUAGCACAGUCAUUAGCCAUGUAUUACAACUAAGCCAAUAGAAGAAAGUCUUUACCUACAAAUUGGUAACAAUUGAUUCUUCUGAGAAGAUGAUCGUUUGUCCGAAUUAUGCAAGUUGAAAUAACUUAGCAACUUAUACCUCUGUACUAUAUAGAACAGCGAACUAAACGUAUUUGGUCCAUUUUUGUAUACCGUCUCCUAUUUUUACAAAAAAAAUUUAUACAAAAUUGACUGUUAAUUAACAAUAUAAUUAUUCAAUUUGAUCACACAAUGCUUUUGACACACCCCGUCCCGAAGGAGGGCAUGCUGGCCGUCACGUGGGAGUGACGUAACCAUUUACACAGUACGGAAGCUUUAAAUUUACAACUCCUAAAAUGAUACACCCGAAGGUGAGUCCUAAUUUUGUCCAUUCUGUCAGAACACCUUGAAUUCCUCGUAGUCACCACACAUCAGCAAUCUUGAACCUGGAGGGGCGCAAAACCAAAUUAAGUGGGUCAGUAAAACAAAUCUUUUCCAAAUCCAAACAUUUCCCAAAACGUUGUAACCCCUCUCCGUAAAACUUGUAUACUUUCCCAGAAAUGUAAAAUAUCAAUAUAUAUAUAUAUUCUCAAAACUUCAAAUCACUAUCUCAACAUUUUUCAUUACAAUUAUGCCAUGCCAUGUCUAAAUUCAACAGUAUAAUAUGAAUGCAUCAACAUAAAUCAGGUGAAAGAAAAUAAUCAACCGGAGACCCUACAAUGGUCCUGUACGGCUGAAUGUAGAGCUCAAAAUCUCAUCUAACCGGAGUCACCAACUGUGACCUGUACGGCCAUGCCGAAGUCACCUAGUAUGACCUGUACGGCACUACACUGCACAUAAGUCGGAAUUACCUAAUGUAAUCUGUACGACUUAAUGGUGUAAUAAUAUGCUCUAGUGCUUUUCUCAUCAAUCAUUUGUGCACAUAAUCUAAGGUCACCUACCAGUCGGAACCCCUGUAAUGGUCUGUACGACUGGCAUGUCGGAACCACCCCCGGUGAUCUGUACGACUAGCAUCUACUUGGAUCCAAGGUGAGCAUACGAUGCAGGGUGAAUAAUAUAAGCACUAAUACCAAGUUGCAGUUUAUGAGCUCAACAUAUCUCAACAUCAUCAUAACAAUAAUAAUACUCACCUGUGCGUCCACCGCACCAUUUCACAUAUAUGCAUCAUACAACAAUUCAUAAUAUUCAUGAAAUUCUAUGCAUGGCAACCAACUAUAUUCCAUAUCACAAUUCAACAUACUUUUCAUUUAAGUUGAUUUCUGGGGAAAUCGGGUAUAUAGGUAUAUAUAUAGAAAGCAAUGCCCACUCACCUGGAGUUCGUCCAACAACUCCCUAGCACCACACAUCAAGGCGUCAUGACGAUCGCCGCCUAGAACAGUAAUCAAAUCCAGCCUCAGAAUUCAUAUCGAUAGAAUAUAUAACUUAUAUAAAAUACGUCACUACGUAGAUCGAUCCGGAAGAUCUGCCACUCAGAUUUUAAAUCCAUAACUUCCAGAGGUCCACAAUAUAUCUCUAGGACAACAUCCUAAAAUUUCAUCACCAUCCAACGGUCGGAUCUCCGUCAAUUAACAAAACUAAGUGACGAUUUACAUUCUAUUUUAUGAACUUACAACUCCAAUUCCGGAAGAUCCGUAAAUCGGAUUCCCAAUCCGUAAGUUCCUAUAAUCCUCAAAUAUUACGUAUUACAACGUAUCAAAGUUUGGUGACGAUCCAACGGUCGGAUCGUCAAUUCAUAUUUUCACCUAAAUGCAAAAACUAUAAAACGUUAUUUGAACACCUAACCAACAAUCCUUAAUAACUUUCUCAUACGGUGCUCAAUUUGGGUAUAUGAAUAUACCACAUUGACCUACUCGACGUCACGGACGUCGAAAAAUUUUUAAAAUAAUUUUUUACUGUAGCACGCGCCCCCACGCGCCAAGGAAGGCACGGGUCCACGCGCGCCCACGCGCACCUUCUUCCUCGCGAGUUCGCCGGACUGGUUUUUCUCCGGUGGCCAGAUUCUGGGAAAUUUUCAAAUGCCUCGUUCUCCUUCGUUUCUCACCCAUUUUCUUCGUAUAAUAUAUCAAAAUGAAGCCCCAAACAUGUAGAAUCACAAUAGACUACUUUUAAGCUUCAAAAACAACUAAAUCUCACCGGAAAAGUCGAAGCAAAACCGGCCAAACUUGCAGCUCGUGAUCCCGACGUCCAAUUCCUUCAAACGAAGCACUCCGAGCUUCCUUGGGACCUCACUAAGCUCACUGUGAGCUUGAAAUUCCCUGAAACAUCAAGAUUUACGUGUGCAUGAACAGUGCACUUUCACGGGGAGUUUAGAAUCUAGGUUUUCCGAAGUAAAACUUACCUGAAAUUGGUGUCUACGUGAUCGUGGAGGUUCCAGGAGUUCGAUGGUGGUCUUAACUCCGUCGUUGGUAGAAGUUUAGGGUGGUUUUGGAGUUUGUCCGUGUGAGUUCGAAGGAGAGAGACAGAGAAUGAGAGAUUGUGAGGGAGGAGAGAGAGACAGGGUACGGGAAAGAGGGAGAGAAUUGAGGGGUGUGGGAUCCUACCCAAUCCCCAACUACAAAUUCUAACAUAAAAUUUAAGUCUAAGUCUCCACUCUACUUACCAAAUUUUAGGAGCUUAGAUAUAACGAACGUAAAAAUUAUACCUUAGUCACGUAUUGGGGCAUUUUUGUAAUUUCAUGUCCUCGGAAUUAAAAAUUUCGGGACGGGCUGUGACAGCUUUAGUUCUAGGUUUUUUUUUUUUUCCCAAAGGUGCACCAAUAUAAGACUUUCGAUUAAACACCAACAUGAUUACGUUUGUGAUAAGACUGCAAUUAUACAAUUAGUAUUCGCUAAAUAUUACUUUUGAUAUAUGAGGUUCCUGAAAAAGAGAACGGAAGCAUAUUGUUAGCUUAGAUUUAUAUUUCUUAUUACUUUCAUGCAGAUUUUGAUUCCUGACAUUUUCGGUUCUAAAAACAAUUUGAUGCAUAAGAAUUUAUUCAUGCUUACUGUUAUUUUACAGCAUAACCCGUUAUUCUGUAAAGCAUCGCCUCCAAUCAUCAUUCAUUUGAAGGUACACCAUUCUAACACUAUCUUUUAUUUGCUUUGAUAAAAUUAUUUCUCAGCUGUUUAACUUAUAAACAAUGACAAUAUUAUUUCUUCCCUUGGUUAAAUAUUAAAUACCUAAACACUUUCCUGCGUGUUAACUGUCAAUUUACACACUUAACAACCCUUCACAAGCUCACAUUUGAAUCAACAUUUUUUCACACCGUACAACACAACUUUAACCCUUGAAUUACAAAUACAUUGUUUCUUACAAUUGCCCUCUUACUAGAACAAAACUGUACCAUUUGUUAUUUCUAUAUGUUUAUUCCUUCCUGUAAAUACGAUGAAGACACAUACAUGUUUGUAAAACUUUCUGCAAAUUUUAUGCAUUCACUUUUAAAACCCGCGGCAACGCGCGGGCACAAUUGCUAGUAUAUACUAAACGCCUAACAUUGUGGUUAAUUCCCUUUGUAUCCUUUUUACUGUUCAUUCACCAGUGUUCUUCCUUUUUUGCCCUUUCUUUGUUUCUGUCAUCACUGUUCAUUCUACAGUAGAAUGGCAUUUUCGUCCCUGCAGUGCAACAGGGGUUCUUUUAUUACGGUUGUGCCUGAAAUUGAAGGAGCGGAAAAACUAGGUUGUUCGGGAGACUUCUGUCUUUUGAUUUUGUCACCUGGCGGCUUAGCAUAGUGACACGUGUUGAUUGGGACGCGUGUCACUUUACCCAUCUCCUCUUUCUUUGCUUUUGCUUUUGCUUUGCUUUAGUUUUUUGUCUCCUCUUCCAGACUCCUCCCUUUUCCAUCGCGCUCUUCGAUCUCUGCUUUGUGUUCUUCGAUAUUUGCUUCGUGAUCUCUUCCAUCUCUGCUUUCUCCGUGAUUUCGUCUUUUCUGAUCGACUUCUAUUCGAAUUGAAAACCUUCUAGAUCUCUCUUCCCUAAAUUUCAGCAGCAAUUUUGCUCCAAAUCUUUCCAAUUGAAAAAACCCACAUCAUCAUCAUCUAUUCCUCAUCACCACAGGUACUUUCUACACCUAUUAUAUGUCCAAAUCUGUUCAAGUAUGUGAUUUGAUAUAAUUAGACUUCAGAAAAAACUUGAUUUUGUGGGUUAGAAAAAAUUUCGCUAAUUUUCUGGGUUCAUCCUCAUCACCAUCGACGCGGGCAAAGCUUCCCAAUUUGACCUCUUUCCGGAUUUUUCUAACCCAUCGUUUGGUUUCCGAGAGAAAAUAAUAAUUUAAUUAGAAAAACGUUUUUUUUUUGUUUUUUGCUUUGCUUUGAUGCAGAGAUUAAAGGCACAGAAGGAACCGUGUGCGCCGAAGGGUUCUUCAACAUUAAGAUUCAGAUACCCGAGGUUGGGUCAAGGAUUUUGCCUCUGAACUCAAUUCAGGUACACAUAGUCUUUCUCUACUUUGAUUCUCUCAUUAGUUCUUCGCUUGGGCACCGACAAAGUGUCAAACAUGAAAUUAUUGAAUUAGUUCGCAUGUUAUUUUCCACUACCUGAGCAACUGACGGAAAUCUAGGCCUGCCAUAUAACUAAUUGACUUCAAAUCUCAUCAAACAUCCUCAAUUUUUAUUUGUUUGUGGUUUAUCCACCCCCCUCCAUGUAUUUUAUUGACAUUUUUAGUUGAUCUGAAAAACAUGACAAAAAUCUUUACAAUUACGAUAUGUUGUUUAACAAAUGCAUGUGUGCAUUGUGCAAUUGUGUGGUGUAGAGCAUAAAAUUUCAUAUACUUCUCUAAAAAUUGGAUUCUUAUCGUUUCUCACAGGUGCCACACCCUCAUAUAUCAGUAGCUUGGCCAUUACCAAAAAAAAAAAAAAAAAAAAACUGGCGCUUUUGCUUGCCACUCAGGUUUGUCUCGAAAUUAGGUUGUUUUUUGUUCCGAUUUUUGUCCUUCAGUCAUGUUGUGUUUAUCCGUUUUUUAAUUGUUGAUACAGGGCUUGCAGAAAAAUUGUGAAAAACUGCAUUAAGGUACUCCCCCAAUGAAAUCGGCAAUCACCUGUUCACCCAAGGUCUCCCCCUAUUUCUCUUUCUCCUCACUUUCUCUCUAAAAUCUUUAUCCUUUUCAAAUUUAUUUGUCUAAUCUUUUUAAUUUGAAGUUUUCAGUCUUCUCUAUUAAUGCCAAAUAAAAAAAAAAUAGUAUUGGACUAAGACAUAGUUGUACUAAUGGAUCUCUAAUUCUAAUAAAUCUUGCAUGUUGGCCGAAGUGACAAUAGUCAGAGUUCCCCCUCUGUCUGUCUCUCUGAGUUUCUACUGAGACAUAGCUGUAUUAAUGGGUCUCUGAUCUUAAUAAAUUAAGGAUUCUCAACCCAUAUAUGAUUUUAGUUUUGGGUUUUUCUUUUUUUGAUAGCCAAGGUUAAUUAAUCCUUAAUACCUAUAUUAAUAAAUUUUGUUAUUAAUUUGAGCACAAAAGUCCUAAAUUAUUUUCUAAAUAUGGGGAGAGAUCUUUUUGCAUUGUUUUAAAGGAGCAUGAAAGUUCACUAUUGUAGGCCUAGCCAAAGUUAAUUAAUCCUUAAUACCUAUAUUAAUAAAUUUUGUUAUUAAUUUGAGCACAAAAGUCCUAAAUUAUUUUCUAAAUAUAGGGAGAGAUCUUUUUGCAUUGUUUUAAAGGAGCAUGAAAGUUCACUAUUGUAGGCCUCAUGUUCUGUUAAAUCUUUUUUUUCCAGUUAGAUCAUAAGAUAUCAAUCAAAGAUCGAUUUGAUAAAAGCUAACGUUUAAAAUUGUUUCUCUUCGAGUGUUUUCUAAAUAUGUUGCAAUCUAUUUAUUUACAACUUUACCAUAAUCUUUUGGUAAUUAAAUUAUAAUAAUCUGUGAGGACGAUCUUAUUGAUUGGAUUGCAUGUUUGAGAAUUUAGCUCUUUGUUUGCAAUUUGAAUUGCAUGACUUUAAAUGUAUUCUAUUUUCUUCAAUUCCCAGCUUUGAAUUCAGAAAGCAGUAGCUGCUACAGUUGAAAUCCAAUUGCAUAUCUUAUUUCUACGCCUUUGUUUCAUCUGUGGUUAGGUAAGGCUCAAAUCUUUCAAAUUUGUCUUUGUUUUGGAUUGCAUGUCUACAUAAGGAUUUAACAUUUUGUAGUGUAGUUUCAAUCAUAAAAGAUAAUCAACUAAGGUUUUCUGAAUCAUUAUUAGGGUUGGUUUUUGCAUAAUAGUUCGAAAUGUAACUUUUAUGUGUUUGUUUUGGUUGAUUGUAGAUUACAUAUUGUCAAGUAUUUAAUAAUUGACUUCUUUUCCUAGGGUUCUCAGCCCAUUAUCUGUUGUUUGGAGUUUAAACUUUUUUCAAGCCAUGUUAACAAGGUCUAGAAAUACCAAACUGAAUAGAAUGAUACGAGAAGGCCAUAUCGUUGGUUCUUCCAGUGGUAUACAAGUUUGUGAUAAUCCAGGCUUUGAACCUCAGAACAAAAGACGAAAAGAAGACCAUAUUGUUGGUUCUUCCAGUGGCAUACAAGUUUGUGAUAAACUAGGCUUUGAAUCUGAAAACGAAAGACAAAAAAAUGUUGACAAUGUGUGUUCAACAAGUACAAACACAGUUCAAACCACUGUCAAUGUCGAUACAUUUGAUAAUCCGAAUCAAAUUAGUAAAGGUCAAGCCAAUUUUCAGAAAAAUAAAAAAGGUAAACUAUCUUUUUAACUUACAAUUUCUUUGGGUUGGUUAUGUAUUUAUGACUUUGCUUCUAAUAGGUUGACUUUUUUUUCCCUUCUUUUUUCACCUUUUUUUCAAUAGCAAAUGUUCAGAAAUAUGUGGAUUUGGGAGACAAAAAGUAUAAGUGCAUCUACUGUGGUGCACUUUUUUGGACAAAAGAGUCUUUAAAGCAGAAGUCCAAGAAUAAUGAGCCCCUUUAUUCUCUUUGUUGCCAACAAGGAAAAGUCAAGCUCCCACGUCCAAUGCUUACUCCUCACUUUUUAGAAAAUUUGCUUGACCCAACGAAAGGCCAAACAAGCUUAUUGUUUAGAGAGAACAUUAGAGCUUAUAAUUCAAUGUUUGCAUUUACUUCAAUGGGAGCUAAAGUUGAUCACACGGUUAACAAUCAGUUAGGCCCGUACAUUUUUAAAAUUAGUGGUCAAGUGCAUCAUUUAAUGGGCUCUUUGUUACCCCCUGAUGGUGAAUGCCCAAAGUUUGCUCAACUACAUGUGUAUGAUACUGCUAAUGAAAUUGGAAAUCGUUUCAAUGCUAUUAAUUGUAAGGAAACAAAUAUGAAGCUUGAUGAGAAUAUUGUCAAGGGUCUGAACAACAUGUUCAAUGAAUCAAAUGAAUUGGUUCAAGUGUUUCGAACAAUUAGAGAUAAAUUUGAAAACAAUUCUCUCCCUUCUUUGAAAAUAACUAUAUUGGGUAGGUAGUUAAAUGAUGAUAAACAAUAUGGACAACCUACAUGUGAUGAAAUCGCUGGUUUAAUAGUGGGUGAUAUUGGUCAAUUUGACUCAAAUAGAGAUAUUGUCAUAGAGUUUAAAGAUGGUGAACUAAAACGUGUGACAAAAUUAAAUCCAAAAUUUAUGUCUUAUGGUGAAGAUGGAUACAGCCCUGAUUUGAAAUUGAAUAUUCCCUCAAACAAUCGCCCAUGUAAAAGAGGCAGAGUAACUAUGAGAGCAUUUAUACCCUAUCAAAUUCAAGAAAGGGAGUCUCAAUUAGAUACAUUGUUAAAAGGAGGAAGACUUUUUCAACAAUUUUUGGUAGAUGCUUAUGCAACACUUGAAGAGGAUCGAUUGGAUUAUAUUAGAAAAAACCAAAAAAGCUUACGAAGUGAGGUGUAUAAAGGCAUUUAUGACGCUGUAUCAAAAGGUGAUCAUGAUGCUGAUAACAUAGGCAAGAGAGUAAUAUUACCUAGCUCAUACACAGGAAGCCCAAGAUAUAUGCUUAACAACUAUCAAGAUGCGAUGGCUAUUUGUAGACAAUUUGGUUAUCUUGAUUUGUUCAUAACCUUCACUUGCAAUAUCAAAUGGCCUGAAAUUGUGAGAGAAUUUGAUAUAAAACUUGGAUACAAGUCAGAGGAUAGACCAUAUAUCAUUUCUAGGGUUUUUAAGAUGAAAUUUGAUGAUAUGAUUAGCUACAUAAAAUCAGGAGAAUCAGGAGAACCUUUUGGAGAAGUUGAACCAGGUGAGUUUAAAAAUUAAUUUUUUUCUCAGUUUCUUUCAUUUUAUCUUUACAAUGAAACUGACUAUGGUUUAUAUAUUUCCUAACUUGAUUGCAAACAGAUGUUUGUACAAUCGAGUUUCAGAAAAGAAGGUUGCCUCACGCUCACAUCUUAAUUUGGUUAAAGAAGCCUUACAAAUGCUACUCUGCUGAUGACAUAGAUUCCAUCAUUUCAGCUGAAAUACCAAAUAAAAAUUCAGAUCCUCUCCUAUGAAAUUGUGAACCAAUUCAUGAUUCAUGGUCCUUGCGGACAACUUAAUCAAAAGUCUCCAUGCAUGCGAGAGGGAAAAUAUUCUAAGUUUUUCCCAAAGCAAUACAAAAGUGAAACAAUUUUUGAAACAAAUACUUUUCCUGUGUAUAGGCGUCGUGAUGAUUCGUCAAAAUUUGUGGUUAAAAAUGGGAUGCAAAUAGAUAAUGGUUUUGUUGUACCUUACAAUUCAAAUUUAUUAUUGAGAUACAAUGCUCAUAUAAAUGUUGAGUUAUGUUCUCAAUCAAUGCUUAUAAAAUAUCUUUUCAAAUACAUAAACAAAGGUUCAGAUCGAGCAAGAAUUGUUUUUGAAGAGAAUUCAAACAAUGAAAUACGUGCUUAUCUAAAUUGUAGAUAUAUAUCUCCAUACGAAGCUGUUUGGAGAUUGUUUGAGUAUCCAAUUCAUGAACAAUUUUUGUCAUAUUUUAUCAAUGUAAAUGACACAAUAUUUCUUAACGUUUUUUGCAUGUAAAUAGCCCAAAGUUCCAUAACCUUUUGUAUGUAAGUACUGCUGUUGAUCGAAAAUCACAAAAACUACCCAAGUGGAAUGUGUUGAUCUAAUAUGCUAUGUACAUAGAUAGCCAAAACUUCUACAAUUUUAUGUGGAGUAUCAAUUAAAUAUAGCAAUGAAUUGUAUUAAUCUUUUAUGACACAAUUUUUUAUAUCUUUCAAACAUAAUGCUUUUUACAUUUAUUAAUCCCGUAACAACGUGCGGGCAAUAAUUUCUAGUAACUACUAAUAUUAACAUGUAAAAAGUCCACAAUACCCUUUCCGCCAUCCUCUUAGAUUUGCCGUUGGUUUGCGUAAUUAACACUAAAAUGGGAAGGGCAAACACGUCCCGAAAUAUCAUCAAAUCUCAGCUGGCGGUCCCAAACACUCCACCGUCUCCCUCUGCAACUCUCUGGAGCUCUCUCUCAAAAUUUCGUGUUACAUGGCGUCCUCUUCAAUGGCAGCGAGCGGAGUGCUCACGUCGCGAUCGUCGGUGUUGCCGAACUCGAAGCAGACCCAGAACAUCAGCCGCCUCUCCUUCAGCGGCUCUCAUCUCUCCGGGACCAAAAUCCCUGCCCCGCCCCCAGCACCUGUACGAGGAAAUGCCCCACUCACAGAGGCCCGCCGCUGGUUGUCUCUCCGAAAGCUGUUUCCGAUUCCAAGAACUCCCAGACGUGUCUUGAUCCCGAUGCGAGCCGGGUAAGUGAUUCAUUUCUCUCCCUCUCUAUCGCAUUUCGUGCUUUUGUUUCUAUGCAUUCGCAUAAUGUGUUCUUGUUUAGAUUGAAAUUUUGGGAAUUUUGUUUGUGUUAAUGUGUAGAGUGUGUUGGGGAUUAUCCUGGGUGGGGGAGCUGGGACGAGGCUUUACCCAUUGACCAAGAAGCGUGGGAAGCCUGCUGUUCCAUUGGGAGCAAACUACAGGCUGAUCGAUAUCCCAGUCAGUAAUUGCCUCAACAGAAACGUGUCCAAGAUCUAUGUGCUGACCCAGUUCAAUUCCGCUUCGCACAAUCGCCAUCUUUCUCGUGCUUAUGCCAGUAACAUGGGUGGCUACAAAAAUGAAGGCUUUGUUGAGGUUCUUGCUGCUCAGCAGAGCCCCGAGAAUCCCAAUUGGUUUCAGGUGAUGAAAAGCUUGUUUCAAAUUGUGGGGUUGUGUUGGAAAGCGGGUUUCGAUUGGUUUUUGAGUAUGGAUUUUUGGUUUUCAUUGGUUUUUGAGUUGGGAUAUUUGGUUUUGGUGCUUUACAGGGUACCGCGGAUGCCGUGAGACAGUACUUGUGGUUGUUUGAGGAGCACAAUGUAUUGGAAUUUUUAGUUCUUGCUGGGGAUCACUUGUAUAGGAUGGACUAUGAGAGGUUUAUUCAGGCGCACAGAGAAACUGAUGCAGACAUCACUGUGGCUGCUCUGCCCAUGGAUGAGAAGCGCGCUACCGCCUUUGGUUUGAUGAAGAUUGAUGAAGAGGGAAGGAUUAUUGAGUUUGCUGAGAAACCUAAAGGGGAGCAGCUCAAAGCUAUGAAGGUGAACGAUCCACUUGCAGAUUGUUUUUCAUUAUUUAGUGCAUUACAUAUUCGUUUCAUUGUGAACUUCGAUUGCUUGUGGGUUUAGGUGUGUGAUUGAUUAGUGAUGCAAAAUGUUGUUGUUUCUGUUUUUGUUAUAUAGGUUGAUACUACUAUCCUGGGUCUUGAUGAUGAGAGAGCAAAAGAGAUGCCUUAUAUUGCCAGCAUGGGUAUAUAUGUUGUGAGCAAAAAUGUGAUGUUAGAUCUACUUCGAGACAAGUUUCCUGGUGCAAAUGAUUUCGGGAGUGAAGUUAUUCCAGGCGCAACUUCCAUUGGUUUGAGAGUAAGUUUUUAUUCAUAUAUUUUAUUCUGUAAUUUCUAUGAAAGAUCAAUCAAAAGAGGUGGAAAAGAUUGGAAUAAUUGUUGGUAUUACAUAAUUGCAAAUAUCUUUCAUUCGAAACUGAACAAAUCUCUUUGUACUGAAAAAGAUAGUGUCCUAAAUUGAUUUUAUAUGAUCUGCUAAAUAUUUCCCAGUUCCAUAGUUUCUGUCCCCGCUACCCUUCAUCUGGAUAUUCAUCUCCCAAAAUACUAAUUAUUAAUGCCUACAGGUUCAAGCUUAUUUGUAUGAUGGCUACUGGGAAGAUAUUGGUACCAUUGAGGCUUUCAGCUUUCUACAACGCAAACUUGGGGAUAACAAAAAAACCAGUUCCAGAUUUCAGGUACCUUUUAUUCUAUAACUUGUUUGUAUUCCUGUUUUGUUUGGCCAAUUCAUAUGUUAUGCUAUCAGUUUGAUCUGGAUUUAGUAUUCCGGCCUAAUUUUGAACUUUAUACUGUAACUUUUAUGAUCAUUCAUCCCCAAUUUAGUAUUCCUGUUCGUAUAUUGAUGCGUGAUAUUUUUUUAUUCGGGUUGUUAAAUUCAUGUUAUUGACAAAAAAAUCAUAUGGGAUUUAUUUUGAUUCAAGGGAUAUUUUAAUCUAGAGUAAAGAGCGGGGAGGGGUAUUCGAAGUUGAGUUUGGGUGCAGAAGGGGAGCACGCUGCACUAACGAACUUGCUUACGCCACUGGAUAUGGUCUUUAUUAAAAACAGGUAGAGAGUAUAUGCAUAGAUGUUAUGUGUAUUAUGUGUGUGUAUAGGCAUAAAAUUUUUAGAUCUCAUGUUGAUUUCUAUUAUACUAUGUAUGUGUGUUGAUUGUGGAGAAUGUGAUGUAGCAGUGAUGCGCAUGUUUGGGGAUGGAAUUCUUGUUGAUUUCUUGGCAUAGAGUUUUUACUUCCACUUCAUGGAUUCUGAUAACCAUUACAACAGCAACAACAACGACAACAAUAGCAGGAACAAUGAUUCAGCCACAAUAAAAAUAAAUUCCCAUGCUGAGGUCAGCUUUAAAUUCUUUAGCUGUAUAUAGUAUCAAAGGCAUUUUCUUUUGGUAGCAGUGAUAAUCUUUGGUAACAAAGAUUUCGACUCCACAGAUGGGAUCAACACAGCCCAAAUCAGUGUUUGAGUUUGAGGAUCAGAGCCUAGUUGGGGGCGAGAAGCAUUCAUUGGACGAGGCUCCCCUCAGGGCUCUAUAUUCUGGUGGUGCAAAUGACUGUUGUCCCCAUGUCUUGAAGAAUAGUGUUGUCGAUAGCAUCAGGAUUGUAGUUUUCUCUGCCAAAAUUAAUUUGCUCAUUCCUUUUGGCCCUUUAGCAAUCGUAGCAAUCGUGGUUGAUAAAUUAACCGGCCAUCAUGUGAGUUUUCACUAUCUUUUUCUGUGUGCGAAUCUCUCGGAUCAUCACACGAUUGUAUGCCUAGUUUAUUUGAUUUUUUUAACGCGUUUCAGGGUUAGGUCUUUCUUUUAAGCUUGUUGGGAAUCAUACAUUUGGCGGAGCGAUUAGUCUAUGCCACAGAGUAAGAUUUCUUGCAUUCUCUUUGUAUUCUUUGUUUACAAAAAGAAAUGUUUACAAGUGGAAUCCAACAGCCUUGUUUGAACAACCAUCCAGUUAACUUGAUGUAUUAGAAAACAACAUUUGUUAGUGUUUUAGCAUAUUAGGGUUUAAUCUGCGUGCACAUGAGACGGACAUCCAUAUCAACUUAAUUUGCCAUCGAUAUGCAUUAUUGAGUACCUAAUACAAGCUUGGCUUCUUUUGAUGCAGGCAGCUGGCUUGCUAUACUGGACCAACAGGUAAGCAUGUUGUAAAUGCAAAUAUCCAUUUUUCUAUUUCCAUAGUCUUCAUAAAGCUUCAAGUUUGUGUCACUGAUCAAUGCCAGAUUCCAUAAAUCUUCAUAAAGCUUGUAAGUUUGGUUUGAGCACUCUAAAAUUAUCUUCAUCCAGCCAGUACUUCACCUGCAUCACAUGUUUCCUUUCACAUUUAACCCUAAAUUUUGAAAGCGGUCGCACUAACUUUACAAUUAAUAUUCAUUUGUUGAUCCAAAAAUGUUAUCCAUAACUCCAAUUAUGAGUUAAUUCUGCAGUUGGAGGUGUUUUGAAUGCCACCUUUGGAAACGCAACAGAAUUGAUAAUAUCAAUUUACGCUCUGAAAAGAGGCAUGAUUCGUGUUGUUCAACAAUCCUUAGGCUCAAUCUUAUCGAACGUGUUGCUCGUGCUUGGAUGCGCAUUCUUUGCUGGUGGACUUGUGCAUUCACAGAGGGAGCAAGUGUUCAACAAGGUACAUUUCAUCUGUGAAAAAGAGCGCUUUGUUUAUUUGGUUUUAUUUUCUGUAUUUGAUCUUCCUCGUCUCUCUCUUCACCAACCCCUCUCUCUCCUCUCUCUGUCAAACCAGUUUCUCAUCAAUCUCCAUCCAUGUCAAUAGGCCAUAUCCAAAGGCACCGAGAAUCCCAAAGAUCCCAAGAGGUUAAGUUGUAAGCUCCAAAUAUCCAAUCCCUUUUCAUUCUCAUUAGCAUUAGAUUUCAAGAUCCACAAUUGAAAAAAAAAAAAAUCAAUGUGAAACUUUUUACCUAACCUAUUCAAUGAUUGCUAACCCAACAAUUUUACAUAUUUGUUGGUGUAGCACAUGAAAAUGGAGGUGGCAAGAAAUAUUUGAUGAUUAAAUUGCUACCGAUCAAACCUUAAACAUUACACAUCUCUUUCUCAUCCUCAAUCCGCAUGCUUAUUCAAUCCGCGAUAUUAUUAUAUUUUUUUCCGAUCAUCAACUCCUAUCGGAAGUAUACAUCAGUUUUGGUGAACAAAUUUCGCGACUCUAGCAUUAUUGUUUCGAGAAAGCAUCUACAUUUGCAAAGAUGCAGUCUUUGAGUCGAUCAAUACGAGGUCAAUCAUUACAUGAGCCUCCACCAUUUGCAGAGAAGAUCACAGAAGACCCUGUGACAACGAAAACCGCACAAAGCACGGUGACUUGCGUCUACCUUGCAAAUAUUGCGACAUGUUGGCGGAAGGUGACGAUCAUAUGGUGUAAGAACCUCAUGAACCAUUCCCUCAGCAUUCGGAUUGAUAGCUUAGACGGCGGUUUUCAUUAUACGUGCAAAAUCGACCUAAAGCCAUGGAAUUUUUGGAGCAAAAAAGGGUAUAAGUCAUUCGAGGUCGAAGGGAAUCAAGGGGAGGUUUGUUGGGAUCUUCAUUCUGCAAAAUUUGGCGGCGGCCCAGAACCUUGUUCUAACUUUUAUGUUGCUCUUGUUUGCGAUGAGGAGAUUGUGUUGUUAUUGGGAGACAUGAAGAAAAAGGCAUACAAGAGAACAAAAUCCAGACCAGCCCUUGUGGAGGCACUUUUAUACCACAAAAAAGAAAACGUGUUUGCCAAGAAAAGUUUUGCCACAAGAGUGAAGUUUGAUGAGAAUAUAAAAGAGCAUGACAUUGUCGUGGAGAGCUCAACAUCGGGCUCCAUAGACCCCGAAAUGUGGAUCAGCAUAGAUGGGUUUGUGUUGAUUCAUGUCAAGAAUCUGCAGUGGAAAUUCAGAGGGAAUCAGACCGUAAUGGUGAACAUGCAACCGGUUCAAGUUUUCUGGGACGUGCACGAUUGGCUUUUCAGCAGCCCCGGGACUGGGCACGGGCUGUUUAUUUUCAAGCCAGGGCCGCCGGAAUCAGAGAGCGAUCACGACAGAGAUGGCAACGGCGGCAUAGACAGUGAUCAUAGCAGUCCUUAUUAUUCAACUCAGACUAGUAACUCAACAUCUUCUGACUUCUGCCUGUUUCUUCAUGCAUAUAAGAUUGAGUGAGGGAAACUAACUCAUAGAAAAAGGAAAAAAAAAACAGAAAAUGGUUGUAAAAUUGUAAAUUAUGGUCGUAGCAUUACUUCAUAUAUAAGGUUACUCUAAUAUUCAUUUGAUAAUUUGUAAAUUGAACUUUUUUAACUGUUGGUGUCACCCGUUUAGUGCUGUUAUAGGAUAGUGGGUAGCCUUUGGUAGGGAAGGUAUUUGGAGGAUGAUGAAUGGUGGGAGGCAUAUAUAAUAAUGUAAAAUUGUAUUCGUAUUAUAUAUGCAGGAAAUUAAGAAAAUUAAGGUCUAGAAAUGCUAUUCCAUGAUCUACUUAUUCUUGCAAUUUUUCAAGUGGAUUUAUUAUUAAAUUCUUGCCAUUUUUAUUUUCUGUGUGUGGAAAAUUAAAGGGGUGUUGGUGUAAUGUGGAUAUGGCUAGGGUUUAAGGACCGAUAUUACUGUUAAUUUUCAGGAUAAGAAAGUGAAAAGAAAAUGCUUUGAAUUAAUAUUCAAGUAUCAAACGUUACGACACUGAACUAUGUUCCAGAGUUUAAUUGUAGCCAAAACCAUGAAAAAUGGGUGGAUGAAUUGAUUCAUUUUACACUUGUUUCGAUAGAUUAAUCCAAGGCAAAUCAUGCAAAAUUACUUUUGAUUUUCUUAUUCACUGGUGUUAAAUUGGUUGAAGUGGAAAAAGUUCAAGAAGAUCAAUGGUCAAGAGAUUCUAGCAAAUUAGGGUUACAUAUAUGAAAUUUUAGCAAAAACUUCAUCCAAAUUUUGAAACCACCUGGGAUUCAGACUAGCUAAGCUGCUUCCAAUUUCAACAAAACCUCAUCUGUCUUAACUUUUAAGAGAUGUAUGUCAAAACAUCGAGAAAAACUUGUGUAGGGCUUGACUUGCCAUUGGAUUUUACUAAGUGGCACUACAAUCCAAUCAAAAUUCACCACAUGGUAAGUCUAAGUAUAAUCUUUUAUUUUUUAUAUUUAAAGCUCUUAUAAUUUUUUUCUUACUAAUUAAUAUACACCACGAGAAUAAUUUAGUGAUUUUUUUUUCCUCUUCUCCUCUCCCUCUUUUUUCUUCCCAAAUUUUCUCUACUGUCUUCUUCCCCACUCUUUGUCUUUCCUGUCUUCAUAUGAAUAUGGAAAAAAACAAUUAAGUCAUCUUCUCCCACUAUCAUGAAAUGGAAAAAAAAUAUCCAACACAUAUUUCAUAUUUUACACAAAAGCUGUAUUUUUACAAGAGUUGUUCGUUCAUUUAAAAUUUAAUUAUAUACUUUUAACAAUAUUAUAAAUAAUAAUGAACAUUUUGAUAUUUUAAACACAAAACUUACUAAAGUGAUUAAGAUUGCAAAUGUUGGAAACCCAGUGACCAAAACCGACUGUUGAUGAUACAAGGUGAGUUAGAAUCACAUACCUGAAGAAAACUAUAUUUUUAUAUAUACAUUCAGGUCGGUGAAAAGUAAAAAAGGAAAAAUAGAUUUUGAAAAAUAUUACACAACAAAGGAAAAAGGAACAAACUUCCAUCUCCAUUUUCCUUUUCCCAGCAAUUGAAAGGACUUGGGAAGAAAAUUUUAAUGGCUUAAUUUUUUUUUAUCAUAUUCUUAUGAAGAAAGGAAAGGAAGACACGAGUGGGAAAAAAAACAUUAGAUUAAUCUCAUGGUGUGUAUUAAUUAAUAGAAAAAAUAAUUAUGAGAGCUUUAAAUAUAAAAAAGUAAUAAAAGUUUUAUAUUGUAGAAUUGUCAUGCGGUGAGUUUUGAUUGGAUUGUAGUGUCACUUAGCAAAAUCCAGUGACAAUAUAAGUCUCACACAAGUUUUUCUCCAAAACAUCAGCCAUUAUAUUAAAUUUGAAUAUUUCCUAAUCUGACUUAUUUUCAUUUUAUCAAUAAAUAAUAUGUGAAGUUUGUAUGUUGCAUUGAAAAAGUGUACAAUAUAUACUUUCACAUUUUGGGAAAAAAGGCAUAAUUUAACUACUCAUUGAGAUUGUAUGAAAAAAUAAAAAAUAUGCAUGUAUGAUCGUAAAACGCGUAUUGAACCGCACUAUACUUUCAUAUCUCAUCACUGCACCACCGCGAAGUACUCUUUGUUGGCUCUGAUGGACAGAGGAAGCUAGGUUGGCCGAAAUAUAUUUAUCAGGUCAAACGUGAUGUGCCAUUAAUUUUUUAGAAUAAGAAAAGAUAGAGAAAUUUUCUCAAGCCAAUAUUCAAGUAUCAAGCAUAUAUCAUGCGGCGUGCCAUUAAUUCUAAGGAAAACUAAUGAAAAGGGCUUGAAAACUUUGAGUUUUAAUGAUAAGGACAAAAUAAAGGGUAAAGUGAAUAGUACCAGGAUUGACUUUUUAGUGUAAAAAUGUGGUUUUUCGUUAAAGUGAACAGUACCGGGAGCUUUUCGUUAAAGUUCCCUUAAUUCUACAGUUGAUUUGUUAGAGAAAUUGGUCUAUUCUACUCAUUUGUCACCUAAAACAAGAUUCGAAUCGUACUGUACUUUCUAAAAUUGAAAAGUCGUCACUUAACUCCUUAAAAGUUGAAUUCUAUCUCAAUUGGUCUUCUUUCGUCUACUCUAUCUACAAUCUAAUUAAGUUACUUCUGUGACUUUCAAGGAUUAAGUGACAAAUUUUUAGUUUUGAAUGGGAAAUGAAUAAUCAAAGCAAGCCAUAAACCUUACCCCAUAAAGAAGAAAAAAUAAAUGCCAUUGAUUUAGCUACUUAGUACUACGAUCUUAUGGUAUUCAUUUUCACUUGGAAGUGAGAGUUCUUAAGUUUGAAUAUCAUGAUGGCGAAUUCGAUACCAAAUUAAGCUGCCCAUUGUGUUGCUUAGCCAAACACCUCAUCCGCUUAUUUAAACUACACAAAAAUAAUAAUAAUAAUAAUAAUAAAUAAUAAAAUAAAAAAAAAAAAAAAAAAAAGCGGCACUCGAUCUCCUAGAAAUUGCAAGUGCGCGCACCUCCGGACAUUGGUUAGAAGAUAGAGCAGAAAGAAAAUGAAGGUUGGUUCGAAGGUAGUGUUUCUGCUGAGAGACUCAGAGGGCUUCGGCGAAGCCAUCUCAGCUGCUUUCCGCCCAAAUCCAAGCAAUUCUACUGUGUAAGAUCUCUUCCUAAUAACCCUUUUAAGGUUCGCCAAAAAAAAAAAAAUAACCCUUUUAAGUUUGAGAUCAAAUUCAUAUUAUAUCGAUUGAUUUCGGUGCGCCAAUUUGUUGCAGAGAAGAAAGUUUCGAGCUUUCAUUGGAGCGCUAUGGAAUCCAAAAUUGCAAAGCUUCUGGAACCCUUCGCCACUUCCUCGAUCCCCAGGGCCAAUAUGAGGUUCCCCUUCUCUCUCUUCCUCUCUCUCUCUCAUGGAAUUGUUUAGGACCCAGAAGCGGGAUUGUAUUCGUAUAGAUUCUGUCUCGUAUAGAUUAGAUUCUAUGUGGGAUUUGGGUGUUGAGAAAUGGGUCGUGUAUUUUGUAAUGAAAUGUGUACUAGUUUUUAUGGUGAAAGUGAAAUUUGUGACAAUUUGGGGUUUAGAUUGUGUGUGAUUGAAAUUGAAAACGAUGCUGGUUUUUCAAAACCAUGUGGGGUUUAAAAUCGACUCGGUGUUAUGGAAUUGUGAGUGAUCUGUGAGGUCUAAAGGGACCUGGUUGCAGGCGUUUUUCGAAGAAUGCUUGUAGAUUUGGUUUCUAUGCCCAUAGUGGUAGAAACCCAUUAAAUUACUUUGUAAAAGUUUUGUUCCUUUGUGUUUCAGAACUCAUGCUGUGACGAUAACAGUGGAAGGUUCCACAUUAUUUUUUUAUGCAGUUUUCUGUUUUUCAUAAAGUUUAUCCAUCUACACUGCUCUGAAAUGCUUUAGUUGUUAGGAUGUGAGCCAACAGCUUUGAUUUGUGUUGAGUUUGUCGGUUUAUUACUAUUUCCAACAGCUUGAGUUACUAGGACAGAGUGAAUAACUAUUUUAUUUAUCUUCUAACAUAUCUUGAAGAUAACAGAUUAGGGGAACUUUAAAAAAAUUUCUCUUCAAUUUUGUCUUUUUCAGGUGUCUGUGCUGCUUAUGGAAUACCAUGAACCGCCAAUACUAGCCUGCGCUAUUAGUGAAGUUCUAGCACAAUUAGCAGGGCAGAAUUCAUCCUCAGUUCCCACAGUCGUUGCCCCGUUUUUCCUAGAGUCAUCCAAGCUAAAGGGGGAAAGUAAAUCUGCAACAAAAUUUGAAAGCAAAUGUUCACUUUAUGGUAUAGAGAUUGGUUCAGAAACAGCCAUAAGCAAGGCUAUGGCAACCAAAACCCAGAAGCCACAGCCAUCCUUGCAGAUUCAUCAUGAACCUUUGGCUUGCUUUCUUCAGUUGGUCCGUGUUUUGAAGUUGCCAGUAUAUGUUCUUAUUGGGCAAAGAGGUCAACACGUUUAUGAUAAAGAAGAGUUUCAGGUAUACAGUCUUUUUUAUUACUUUAUCUAAUGCAACUGUCAACAUUCAGUUUACCUAGAAUUUUUGUGACAUAUGAUUGAAUUCGAGUUGGGUUUGGAGGCCAUGUGAUUUGUAUUUCUACGAUUUGCUUGAGAGAUGAGUGGGAAAAAUAGUGUAUGCUCAGUUUCUCCAUGUUCCACUGCUGAAAAUAAGUCGUUUAGCCUUGUUUCUUUCUCUUCCUUAUAGUUCUCUAUGAAUCUGUCUGUUUCCCGAGUGUUCGUAUAUUGUCUAACUCUAGGUGGAUUCUUUUUCAGAUACUUUAUGAGAUUGGAGAACUUUUAGCAAGCACUUUGAACCUUUCCUUUUCAAGAGACAAGAUCACAUGGAAUCCAACAAGAAAAUCAAAAGACGAUCGGGAGCCAUGGCGUGCGUUAUAUGGUUAAACCUCUACUGUCUGACAUUAGAGGUUGGGACAAGAUCUAUCGUCGGGUGCAUCAGGUUG